rnacentral:lncRNA from 1 species
UGUUUUUUUUCUUUUAAUACUCCCGCUGUUCACUUUUAUAAGGCUUUGUAGACGUUUCAGAUAUUGUGCAAAACAGCUCAAUUUCACUUGUCUGAAACGACUUAUAAAAGUGAACGGAGGGAGUAGGAAAAAUAGAUCCAUUGAUGGUGUAUAUAUAUUGUUGAUAAUAGUUUUUUUCAUUUGUGAGAGAUAAAGAUUAUUUCUUAUAUGUGUCAAAGAAUUGACUGGUGUUUGUGUUUGAUGCAGUUCAGCUUGAAGGUAAAUAGGUCGGCAGCCUUACCGGCCAAGGGGCAAAACCCUGGUAUUGUUGCCCCUUUGAUGGCUUUCGCUGAAAAAAGUUGCGACAACUUGGGCUUGAACUGCACGGCAUGCGGCAUCACAGCAAGCAGUCAGAAGAACAUGCAAGAUCACCUCAAAGGGAAAAUUCAUAUGAGGAAGACUGCCAUGCUCGCGCAGCCAUUGCCUAAGAAGGAUGGGGUAAGGAAUAUGGUUUGGACUUUGCCAACCCUACCCAAAUUCAACAAAACAAUAUAUUUGUUUUACUGCAGCGUGGUUAACUAUAAUAUUUAUAGUUUCCUAUGAGGCUACUUGAAUCGGUUGUACUUCCAACUCAUUUAUUGACCACAAUACUGCCUGCUUACAAAUAUGUAACACCCCCUCAAAUUUUGAGCCUAACUUUGACUACAAAUUUGACUAAUAAAAUCUGAGUUCUGUGCCACAAAAAAUAUAUCACUGAUUUUGUAUCUGAAAGAAGUUUUGAACGCUAUAGUUUUUGUGGCAUAUAACUGACAUUUUAUUAGUCAAAUUUAUUGUAAAGUUAGGCUCAAAGUUGGAGAGGGUCUUAUAUGCUUGAAAGUAGGUAUUAUUCUGAUCCUAUUAGUAAAAGUGCUCGUUCUUUUGUAUAUAGAAAGGGCCCGAACUGCAAAUCCAGUACAUGGCAAAUGUGUAUCAUGAUUUCUGGAACAUAAAGAGGUCUCAAAGGCUAUUUAAUCAUGAUUGCUGAGAAACCAAUUUUAUGUGUCCUUACAAAUGUCCUUGGUCCUAGUUUCUAGUGUACUAAAAUGUUUGCAUUCUUCCAUUAUCUUUGAAUAUUAAGAGGUGCUAGAGAAGCACAGGAGCUUGUGACAAGGGAUUUUCUAUACCUAGGGACAUAUGAAUCCUAUAGCAUGAUACGGCUAACAAAAUUUUGUAUAAGUUUGAUAAAAUACGAAAUAAAUCAUGCUCAUAGAGGAUGGAUACAAGUAUAUGCGUCUAAAAAUUAAGACUUAAAUAUGACCUGUAACUUACACCAUUCCUUGUUUAAGUUAUAAAGUUACACGCUCAUACUUGUAUCCAUCCCUAAUUUCAUGAUUUAUGUCGUAUUUUGCUGAAACUUAUGCGCAUAUUUUUAGGGUGUAUAAGGUUCUGAUGUACUCCCUUCAUUCCGUAAUUCUUGUUGUGGUUUCAGUUCAAAAACAUAGAUUCAUCGUCAAUGCCACUUCAACAACUUGGUAUUCCAGGAAAUUUCACUAUCAAUGUUGCAGCGAGGGAUGUGCCACUAGUGUCUUUCCAAGUUUUGUGUUAGUGCCAUCUCAGUCCCUUUCCUGUCAAUCUCUCCUUCCCUGACCUGACCAUGUGAUGUUUCGGUUUUGCACUGUCCCUUCGAACGGUUCGAAUCGAUCAACCAUGUUUGGUUUGAUCAGAUAUCAUAUUUUGACAUCUUGUCAUUUCUCAAGACGUGAUGGGGAAAAACCAGCCAAGGUUGAUCGAUUUGAACGGUUUGAAAAGACAGCAAAACAUGAAACAUCACAUGGUUAGAGAAGGAGAGAGUGACAGAAAAGGGACUGAGAUGGCACUAGCACAAAGCUAUGAAAACAUUAGUGGCAUAUGUCUGAAUACAACAUUUUUGUUACGAUGAGGGAUUUUUGCCUUUGUUCUUCCACAGGUCUCCGUAACCUAAACGAGUGUCUGCUUAGUGGAGUUUGUGUUUGUUCAUGCAGGUCUGCUCAAAACCAAAUGCAUCAGCAGCCGUGCUACCGGCCAAGCGGAAGAACUUCGACGUUGUCCCAGCCACAUCCACCCUUUCAGCCGGGCCAAGCAGCAAGAAUCAGAAGCGAGACUUGACCUGCACGGCAACCAGCGAGAAGGGCACGAAGGAUCACCUCAAAGGGAAGGCUCACAUGAAGAUGGCGGCCUCGCUUGCCCCUGGGGAAGCGGAGGAAGAGGCAGAGGUGGAAGGCGGCUACACGCCGAGGAAGUUCCAUAUGCUGACAGACUCCGGGACAUUGUGCGAGGUGGUGCAGCUGAACGGCUCCAUCCUCUGCGAGGUGUGCGACGUGCAGACCGCUGACAUUGUUACCAUGAUGUGCCACCUACAGGGGACCAAGCACGUAUCCAAGCAAGCCAAGCAGAAGCAGUGCGAAGCCGUGGAACCACCGGCAGCCGUCGCUGCUGGUGGCGACGGGCCAGGAUCAGAAAUGGUGCCCGUGGGGGGCAAUGACGUGGGCCGGGUGGACGGUGGCUCCCUGCUGUGCGAGCUCUGCAACGUGAAGGUGCCGUCGGAGUGCGCCAUGCAGUCUCACCUGUCCGGCAGGAAGCACACCAACAAGGCAAAGGUGGCUGCAGUUGGUGUCGGUGCAUGUGGCAAUGGGUCAGCAUCAGAAACUGUGCCCAUGGAGGCGAAUGGCGUGUGCCGACUGGACGGCGGCAUCCUGCUGUGCAAGCUCUGCGACGUCAAGGCCCCGUCGGAGUGCGUCAUGCAGACUCACCUGUCCGGCAGGAAGCACACCAACAAACAGAAGGCCACCGUUGAAGCCGGUGCAGGACAGGGGGUGAAGAAGGCUGCCGCCGCCACUAUGAUCGGCAGCCCAUCCAAGGAAGCCACCUCCAUCGUCGUCAAUGGCAGUGAUGACUCGGUGAAGAAACCAGCAGCAAGAGAGAUGGAGGUAGCUGUGUCAUCGGCAGGACAGGGGGUGAAGAAGGCUGCCGCCACCCCCGGGAUCGGCAGCCCAUCCAAGGAAGCCGCCUCCAUCAUCGUCAAUGGCAGCGAUGACUCAGUGAAGAAACCAGCAGCGGGAGAGAUGGAGGUAGCUUUGUCAUCGGCAGGACAGGGGGUGAAGAAGGCUGCCACUGCCAUGAUCGACAGCUCAUCCAAGGAAGCGGCCUCCAUCGUCGUCAAUGGGAGCGAUGACUCCAUGAAGAAACCAGCAGCGGGAGAUAUGGAGGUGGUAGUGUCAUCGGCAACGCCUCAAGUGGAUGUUGCCGCCCCGGUCUGCGCCCGUGUCUCCUCCGUGGCCCCAAUGGAAGUAGAUGAAGGUGCAGGGGCCGGACAUGGUGCUGCCAAAGCUGAAGAACAAAAGAAAGCUGAUGCCGAGGAAGAGGGAGCCGUGGAGAUUGACGGAGGCCCCGCCGUGACCGGCGAGGAGUAUUACAUCAAGGUGGAGGGCAAGCUGUUCGUCACGCUGCGUCAGGCGGACGACAGCCUCUCGUGCAGCCUGUGUGGCGUGCACGGCUGCGACAAGCGCGGCAUGAUCAGUCACCUCUACACCAGGGACCACUGGCGCAGAGCCCGUCUCGCCGAGGAGAAGAAGCGGGCACCGGAGGCAGCGCUAGAGGCGGUGAACAAUGGCGGCGACGGCGUCCCGGUCACUGAUGGAGCGGCUCAGGUUGACAACUGAGGGCAACCGUGCGUGACUAUGCAUGGGACGGCGGUGUACUGAACUCUGAACAUUCUAGUAAUGUACUGUAUGUGUGUAUGGGCUGUUGAGACUUCAGUACAAUUGUUGGGCCCUUGUGGGUUUGUGAGAGAACUUGAAACUAUCUGAGAAUUUCCUACAAUUUCCUUCCAAGUAUUUUCUGCCAGUAUCUUUUGCUAGUACUAUUUACUAACUUGUUGAUUGUUGUCAAAUCAGACAUGAAACUCAAGAAUCGUAUCUUCUGGCUGCUGAAAGAUAUCAUCAGGAGAAGGGAGAAGUUCAAAGCAGCAGGGUUACAGAGGCAGGCAUGUAAAAGGAUGUAAAUAAAUAAACAAAACUGCAGAGCCAUGCAUGAAAUACUGCCAGCAAGAAGGAUGGCCUGUUCAGAUAUGGUGCGGCCUACUCAGCAUAUCUUCAUAUGCACUGCAUGACUUCUGAUGAAGCAUGAAUAACUUUCUGCCUGAAAUGACCAGAUCUUUUAAAACUUAAAGCUUUAUAUUGAGGGUAAACAGGGCACAUUAUCCAAGAAAAAGGUGCAGCAGGUAUUUCAUGUAACCUCUGUUCAACAGGCUAAAAGAUAGAAUAACAUACUAGUUGAUGAUAUACCCAUCACAUGAAUUCAUUGCAAGGUUUCAAUUCUUAUGCAGUUUUUUGCCCUUCCUUUGAAUCCCUUAGCUAGCUUAAAAAUCUCCCCCUUGUUCAUCUUUGAGCUCUUGACUCACACAAUAUUUCAUCCCUAUAUUCAUAACAUCCAAGAAAAUGGAGCAAAUUAUGAAUUACUGCAAUGAGAUAGAAGUUCAGAGUACACGCAAAUACUUAAGACAUUGUUUAUUCCCGAGUAGGAGAUGCAUAUGAAUAAAACGUACUUAAAGACAGUUAUUUUCGGCCUAGACUUCUCCACGAACCAGUUUAAGCUUCUCUACCUACAGGAGAUGUGGCACAGAGAAGCCCUGAGAAACCGUGUUGUCAGUUCUUCUGUCCCGUAGCUUAUUUUCUAAAGAAAAAUCCAUGGACUGUAAUUGUGUGAUUUUGUAUUUAUAUAUUGUGUAAUUUCUUGCUUGUUUAUCAUAGAUGUUACGAACAUCAUAAAAAUAAAUAUUACAACAAAAUAAGAUGGCAUUGGAACUUACAAACAUGGCUAUUGGAACAUACAAUCAACGACAGUAUAAUUUUGUUGAAUACUUCACUAAGGUUGUUCACAACCAGAUCGGUCUUGCAAUCAUGAUUCAUAGCAAACCUAGCCCAACCAGAAACACGAAUUUUGUUUAGCCACACCCAGGCUUCCUCACACUCUGCUUCCAGCUCUGCCAUGCCCAUUUCAUGGCCAUGUUUAGUGUAGGAAUACCUUGCCUUGUCCACGCACUUCUUUAAUUCUUCAGAUCUAAAACCAGCAGAUUAAAAGUUUGCAUAGAUGUGCCUAAGACAUUAUAUCUGAGGAGAGUCAGGGAACACCUCAUUUAUUGCCUUAAGAAGACCCUAUGUAUUCAUAAAAGUAAUUCCCCAUUAGCCAGGUGUAAACAUUGCAAAUAUAAGAAAAUGCAAGUGACUGUUUGCUUACCUUUUGCCUGUGAGAGAUUAUGGUGUAUGUUCCAAAUUUGUUUCUUCUUAAUUGAUUUCUCAACUUGAAGAUCAUUAACUUGAGUCUUCUUGGGAAGUGGCCUUUCUUCAACUUGACUUUGAACUUGAGGCCUCUUCCCUUGUUGCUUGUCACUAUGAGGUUUCUUCUUCAAUGGGCAAGAUCUAACAUGAUGCCCUUCAAUCUUGCACUUGAAGCGAACAAUAUUGGUCGAAUUCUUGACUUGUUCUUGGUCCUUCUUGUUGAUCUAGGACUUCUUAUUAUUUGAGUUGAAUCCAAGUUCACCCUUUCCAUUGGGAUAUUUUUGCACACUCAAGAUAUUGUUGAGUGUGGACUUCCCUUCAUGACUCUUUUCCAAGUCUUUCUUCAAAGAAGUGACUUGGGCCUUGAGCUCUUUGAUUUCCUCUGCAUGGUUAGUAUCAGCACAAGAACUAGAGGAACCAUAAGCUUCAUUGUUAGAGCAACAAGGCAAAGAAAUUAAUUCAUCACAAGAUGUACCAAUGUUAUGAGUAGAUGAAUUACUAGGACUAGCAAAAGGCAAGAUAACAUUUAUAGUAGAAGUAGUGUUUAUGUCCACAUGAGGCUCACUAGAUGUUACCCUCGCAGUACUAGCCUCAUGAACUAACUUUAGCACAUUAUAGGAGAUUAUAAGAUCACCAUGAGAGCUUGAGAGCUUUUCAUGACUUUCUUCCAACUCCCCAUACUUUCGAGAUAGCAACUCAAGUUGAGCCCGUAGCUCAACAUUCUCCUUCAAUAUGGAUGCUUCACAAGAAAUAGAGUUAGUAGCACAAGCAUCAUCAUGAAUAUCAAGAUAAAAAAGGCACCUUGGCAAGCUCUUUUAAAUAUAAAGCUUUAAGUUGAGCAUGAGACCUGGUGAUUUCGAGCUCACUCUUAAUGACCCUUGAGCCAUUUUCGAGGUGCUCAAAGUCCUCAAGAAGUUUAGCAUGUGAGACUUAAACCUUGUCAUUUUUAGUUUUGAAAUCAUUAGCCACCUCAAGGGCUCUAUCACGAGAUUCCUUCACUUAAGAUAAUUCUAGAGCAAAAAUGUCAUCAAGAGAUUCCUUGGUGGUUUGUUCAAGUUCAAGAGCUUGAUAUAGAUCUGUGAUCUCCUUUGUGUAAUCAAGCUCAUGACCUUCCAUUUUCUCAAUGGUGUCAUCAUGCUCCUCGAGAUGAUAAUCCAACUCCUCAAUGUAUUUCUUGCUCUCAAUAGCAAUAGACAAAAUUUCCAUGAAGUUAGAACAAGCAAUUUUAUUCUUAUGAAGAGCUUGGUAAAUAAUUUCACCCUUAAUCUUUAAAGAAGAAACAUUAUCAUACUCUUCAUCAUUAUCAUCAUGCUUAUUACCUUCAACAUCAUCAUCACAAGAUAAAUUGAGUUUCAAAGUAGGAGAUACCUUUGAAACCUUAGCCAUAAGGCAAAAGUGGAAGGCAAGGGAUUAUGAUGUAGAAUCCCGUGAGGCGCCAUUCAAGACCAUAUCUUGUACCAUAGAGCGUUGGGUUCCUCUACAUUGUUAGCACAACAACUAGAGGAAAUAUAUGCAUUUUUAUCAUGGCAACAAGACAUAGCAAGCAUAUCAUCAUGAAAUUUAGUCAAGAAAUUUCUACAUGAUAUGCAAGGACUAUCAACACAAGCAUGUGGAACAUCUCGGGUGCUCGAAGUGUUAAAGUCCAAAGAUGAAGCAUUACAAUAAGAUAGUGAUGAAGGAUAAUCAACAAUAAUCCCACUAAACUCAUUGCAAUGACCAACACUACUCACCAUCUCAUUACCUUGUGGCAAUCCACAUGUAGGUGAAGUAGAAGAAGUUGAGAACACUACACGACCAGAGGUGGAGGGAGAGCAAUCAUCCCCAUAAAUCUUGGACACGCCAUAUUUAUCUUGAAGCUUUGUCCACAAAUCAUUAGCAUCAAGAAAUGGAAAUGAGCAUGAGCAUCAAAAAGUGUUGGGGAUCAAAAGGCACAUUAGAAGCUUGAGCAUUGAUAUAAGAGUUUUUCUCAUCCUCUAAAAAUAAGUGUUGAGGAUCCUUUGGAGGAGAAAACCCCGUAUCUACAAUUCGCUCUAAACAAAAUGGAGGUAUAUGUUUAAUAUUUUCAUGUAGUUAUUGUUUAAUGGAGGUCUAUGUUUGACCUUCUGUUCAUCAAGACAUUUUGGUGCAUUUUUAUGUUUUGUUAUAUAAUUUGCAGCUUUGUAGUAGUCAACCAACUUUUUUCUGCAUUUGGCAAUGUGAAAUUAAUGAUGAGUAUGACUCUCUGCUGGUGUCGAGUCCGUGGACACCAUGGCGUUGUAGUUUGAGGCAUAGGUUGCCACCGUGGGCACAAGAUCGGAAGGUGUGACGACCGACGAGAACCAAUUGCACGAGCUCAUGUAAGAGAGUAUCACCCACCCAUGCAAGAGCCCCCUCCGUGUUCCAUGGCCUAUUUCACAAUGAUGUGGCCCAAACCAGAAUGUAUUUUCUUUUAUUACUACCUUCUAAAUGUGAACAAGCAUUCAUAUGAAACCCAAUAGUAUUUGAUAGUUGUAACCUGAGAGAGAUAUUGUUGCACGUACAACCACACAUUAUAAUUCAUUAUAUUUAAAAUCUUAGAUUUCUAUAAGAGAUUUCAUAAAUACUUUGCUUUCCGUAAUAAAGAUUUUAAUUUUUCCUUCGUAUGGUUCUAAUAUGAUCCCAGUAUGGCAGCUAAUAUACUCCCAUGUUAUGUUGUUGAGUACUCCCUCUGUAAACAAAUAUAACAACGUUUAGAUCAGUACAUUAGUGGAGUACCUUUUUGGGGGGUUGCGCAUGUAAGGGGUGUUGGGGAACGUUGCAGAAAAUUAAAAUUUUUCCUACGGUUUCACCAAGAUCCAUCUAUGAGUUCAUCUAAGCAACGAGUCUAGGGAGAGAGUUUGCAUCUACAUACCACUUGUAGAUCGCGUGCGGAAGCUUGCAAGGUGAUGAUGUAGUCGUACUCGACGUGAUCCAAAUCACCGAUGACCAGCGCCGAACGGACGGCACCUCCGCGUUCAACACACGUACGGGACGGGAGACGUCUCCUCCUUCUUGAUCCAGCAAGGGGGAAGGAGAGGUUGAUGAAGAUCCAGCAGCACGACGGCGUGGUGGUGGAUGCAGGGCGUCACAGCAGCAGGGCUUCGCCGAGACUACGAGGGAGAGACGUAACGGGGGAAGGUGGAGGCGCCAGGGGCUGGUGUAUGAAGUCCCUCCUCUCCCCACUAUAUAUAGGGGUGCCAGGGGGGGCGCCGGCCCUAGUAGAUGAGAUCUACUAGGGGGGGCGGCGGCCUAGGGGAGGUUUCCCUCCCCCCCCAAGGCACCUAGGGGUGCCUUCCACCACUAGGACUCCUCCUAGGGGGAAACCCUAGGUGCAUGGGCCUAUAGGGGCUGGUGCCCUUGGCCCAUGAUGGCCAAGGCGCACCCCCUACAGCCCAUGUGGCCCCCAGGACAGGUGGCCCCACCCGGUGGACCCCCGGGACCCUUCCGGUGGUCCCGGUACAAUACCGAUAACCCCGAAACUUGUCCCGAUGCCCGAAAUAGCACUUCCUAUAUAUAAGUCUUUACCUCCGGACCAUUCCGGAACUCCUCGUGACGUCCGGGAUCUCAUCCGGGACUCCGAACAACAUUCGGGUUUCUACAUAUACAUAUCUUCAUAACCCUAGCGUCACCGAACCUUAAGUGUGUAGACCCUACGGGUUCGGGAGACAUGCAGACAUGACCGAGACGCUCUCAGUCAAUAACCAUCAGCGGGAUCUGGAUACCCAUGAUGGCUCCCACAUGCUCCUCGAUGUUGUCAUCGGAUGAACCACUAUGUCGAGGAUUCGAUCAAACCCUGUAUGCAAUUCCCUUUGUCAAUCGGUACGUUACUUGCCCGAGACUCGAUCGUCGGUAUCCCAAUACCUUGUUCAGUCUCGUUACCGGCAAGUCACUUUACUCGUACCGUAAUGCAUGAUCCCGUGUCCAACACCUUGGUCACAUUGAGCCCAUUAUGAUGAUGCAUUACCGAGUGGGCCCAGAGAUACCUCUCCGUCAUACGGAGUGACAAAUCCCAGUCUCGAUCCGUGUCAACCCAACAGCUACUUUCGGAGAUACCUGUAAUGCACCUUUAUAGUCACCCAGUUACGUUGUGACGUUUGAUACACCCAAGGCACUCUUACGGUAUCCGGGAGUUACACGAUCUCAUGGUCGAAGGAAGAGAUACUUGACACUUGCAAAGCUCUAGCAAAACGAACUACACGAUCUUUUAUGCUAUGCUUAGGAUUGGGUCUUGUCCAUCACAUCAUUCUCCUAAUGAUGUGAUCCCGUUAUCAACGACAUCCAAUGUCCAUAGUCAGGAAAUCAUGACUAUCUGUUGAUCACAACGAGCUGGUCAACUAGAGGCUUACCAGGGACAUAGUGUGGUCUAAGUAUUCACACGUGUAUUACGAUUUCCGGAUAAUACAGUUAUAGCAUGAAUAAAAGACAAUUAUCAUGAACAAUGAAAUAUAAUAAUACUUUUAUUAUUGCCUCUAGGGCAUAUUUCCAACAGUCUCCCACUUGCACUAGAGUCACUAAUCUAGUUACAUUGUGAUGAAUCGAACACCCAUAGAGUUCUGGUGUUGAUCAUGUUUUGCACGCGAGAGAGGUUUAGUCAGCGGAUCUGCGACAUUCAGAUCUGUGUGCACUUUGCAAAUCUCUAUGUCUCCAUCUUGAACAUUUUCACGGAUGGAGUUGAAACGACGCUUGAUGUGCCUGGUCUUCUUGUGAAACCUGGGCUCCUUUGCGAGGGCAAUAGCUCCAGUGUUGUCACAGAAGAUUUUGAUCGGCCCCGACGCAUUGGGUAUGACUCCUAGGUCGGUGAUGAACUCCUUCACCCAAAUCGCUUCAUGUGCUGCCUCCGAGGCUGCCAUGUACUCCGCUUCACACGUAGAUCCCGCCACGACGCUCUGCUUGCAGCUGCACCAGCUUACUGCUCCACCAUUCAACAUAUACACGUAUCCGGUUUGUGACUUAGAGUCAUCCAGAUCUGAGUCGAAGCUAGCGUCGACGUAACCCUUUACGACGAGCUCUUCGUCUCCUCCAUAAACGAGAAACAUGUCCUUCGUCCUUUUCAGGUACUUCAGGAUAUUCUUGACCGUUGUCCAGUGUUCCUUGCCGGGAUUACUUUGGUAUCUUGCUACCAAACUUACGGCAAGGUUUACAUCGGGUCUGGUACACAGCAUGGCAUACAUAAUAGAUCCUAUGGCUGAAGCAUAGGGGAUGACACUCAUCUCUUCUUUAUCUUUUGCCGUGGUCGGUGACUGAGCUGAUCUCAGUCUCAUACCUUGUAACAUAGGCAAGAACCCCUUCUUGGACUGAUCCAUUCUGAAUCUCUUCAAAAUCUUAUCAAGGUAUGUGCUUUGUGAAAGACCUAUGAGGCGUCUCGAUCUAUCUCUAUAGAUCUUGAUGCCUAAUAUAUAAGCAGCUUCUCCAAGGUCCUUCAUUGAAAAACACUUAUUCAAGUAGGCCUUAAUGCUGUCCAGAAAUUCUAUAUUAUUUCCCAUCAAGAGUAUGUCAUCUACAUAUAAUAUGAGAAAUGCUACAGAGCUCCCACUCACUUUCUUGUAAACGCAGGCUUCUCCAUAAGUCUGCAUAAACCCAAACGCUUUGAUCAUCUCAUCAAAGCGAAUGUUCCAACUCCGAGAUGCUUGCACCAGUCCAUAAAUGGAUCGCUGGAGCUUGCAUACUUUGUUAGCGUUCCUAGGAUCGACAAAACCUUCCGGCUGCAUCAUAUACAGUUCUUCCUUAAGAUGCCCGUUAAGGAAUGCUGUUUUGACGUCCAUCUGCCAUAUCUCAUAAUCAUAGUAUGCGGCAAUUGCUAACAUGAUUCGGACGGACUUUAGCUUCGCUACGGGAGAGAAUGUCUCAUCGUAGUCAAUCCCUUGAACCUGUCGAUAACCCUUAGCGACAAGUCGAGCUUUAUAGAUGGUAACAUUACCAUCCGCGUCCGUCUUCUUCUUAAAGAUCCAUUUGUUUUCUAUCGCUCGCCGAUCAUCGGGCAAGUCUGUCAAAGUCCAUACUUUGUUUUCAUACAUGGAUUCUAUCUCGGAUUUCAUGGCUUCAAGCCAUUUGUUGGAAUCCGGGCCCGCCAUUGCUUCUUCAUAGUUCGAAGGUUCAUUGUUGUCUAACAACAUGAUUUCCAGGACAGGGUUGCCGUACCACUCUGGUGCGGAACGUGUCCUUGUGGACCUACGAGGUUCAGCAGUAACUUGAUCCGAAGUACCUUGAUCAUCAUCAUGGUUUUCCUCUUCAGUUGGUGUGGGCAUCACAGGAACGGUUUCCUGUGCUGCGUCACUAUCCCGCUCAAGAGGUAGUACUUCAUCGAGUUCUACAUUCCUCCCACUUACUUCUUUCGAGAGAAACUCUUUUUCCAGAAAGCAUCCGUUCUUGGCAACAAAGAUCUUGCCUUCGGAUCUUAAGUAGAAGGUAUACCCUACAGUUUCCUUAGGGUAUCCUAUGAAUACGCAUUUUUCCGACUUGGGUUCGAGCUUUUCAGGUUGAAGUUUCUUGACAUAAGCUUCGCAUCCCCAAACUUUUAGAAACGACAGCUUAGGUUUCUUUCCAAACCAUAAUUCAUACGGUGUCGUCUCAACGGAUUUAGACGGUGCCCUAUUUAAAGUGAAUGUAGCUGUCUCUAGAGCGUAUCCCCAAAAUGAUAGCGGUAAAUCGGUAAGAGACAUCAUAGACCGCACCAUAUCCAAUAGAGUGCGAUUACGACGUUCAGACACACCGUUUCGCUGAGGUGUUCCAGGCGGCGUGAGCUGUGAAACGAUUCCACAUUUCUUUAAGUGUGUACCAAUAUCGUGACUUAAGUAUUCUCCUCCACGAUCUGAUCGUAAGAAUUUUAUCUUUCGGUCACGUUGAUUCUCCACCUCAUUCUGAAAUUCCUUGAACUUUUCAAAGGUCUCAGACUUGUGUUUCAUUAAGUAGACAUACCCAUAUCUACUCAAGUCAUCUGUGAGAGUGAGAACAUAACGAUAUCCUCCGCGAGCCUCAACGCUCAUUGGACCGCACACAUCGGUAUGUAUGAUUUCCAACAAGUUGGUUGCUCGCUCCAUUGUUCCGGAGAACGGAGUCUUGGUCAUUUUGCCCAAGAGGCAUGGUUCGCACGUGUCAAACGAUUCAUAAUCAAGAGACUCUAAAAGUCCAUCGGCAUGGAGCUUCUUCAUGCGCUUGACACCAAUGUGACCAAGGCGGCAGUGCCACAAGUAUGUGGGACUAUCGUUAUCAAUUUUAAAUCUUUUGGCAUCUACACUAUGAACAUGUGUAAUAUUACGCUCGAGAUUCAUUAAGAACAAACCAUUGACCAUCGGAGCAUGACCAUAAAACAUAUCUCUCAUAUAAAUCGAACAACCAUUAUUCUCAGACUUAAAUGAGUAGCCAUCUCGUAUUAAACGAGAUCCAGAUACAAUGUUCAUGCUCAAACUUGGCACUAAAUAACAAUUAUUAAGGUUCAAAACUAAUCCCGUAGGUAAAUGUAGAGGCAUCGUGCCGACGGCGAUCACAUCGACUCUGGAACCAUUCCCGAUGCGCAUCGUCACCUCGUCCUUCGCCAGUCUCCGUUUAUUCCGCAGCUCCUGCUGUGAGUUACAAAUAUGAGCAACGGCACCGGUAUCAAAUACCCAGGAGUUACUACGAGUACUGGUAAGGUACACAUCAAUCACAUGUAUAUCAAAUAUACCUUUGGUGUUGCCGGUCUUCUUAUCCGCUAAGUAUUUGGGGCAGUUCCGCUUCCAGUGACCCUUCCCCUUGCAAUAAAAGCACUCAGUCUCAGGCUUGGGUCCAUUCUUUGACUUCUUCCCGGUAACUGGCUUACCAGGCGCGGCAACAUCUUUGCCGUCUUUCUUGAAGUUCUUCUUACCCUUGCCCUUCUUGAACUUAGUGGUCUUAUUGACCAUCAACACUUGAUGUUCUUUCUUGAUUUCAGCCUCUGCUGACUUCAGCAUCGAGAACACUUCAGGAAUGGUCUUUUCCAUUCCCUGCAUGUUGUAGUUCAUCAUAAAGCUCUUGUAGCUUGGUGGGAGCGACUGGAGGAUUCUGUCAAUGACCGCCUCAUCUGGGAGGUUAAUAUUCAGCUGGGUCAUACGGUUGUGCAACCCAGACAUCUUCAGGAUGUGCUCACUGACAGAACUGUUUUCCUCCAUCUUACAACUGUAGAACUUGUCGGAGACAUCAUAUCUCUCGACCCGGGCAUGAGCUUGGAAAACUAGUUUCAGCUCUUCGAACAUCUCAUAUGCUCCGUGAUGCUCAAAACGCUUUUGGAGCCCCGGUUCUAAGCUGUAAAGCAUGCCGCACUGAACGAGGGAGUAAUCAUCAGCGCGAGACUGCCAAGCAUUCAUAAUGUCUUGGUUCUCUGGGACGGGAGCGUCACCUAGCGGUCCUUCUAGGACAUAUUGUUUCCUGGCAGCUAUGAGGAUGAUCCUCAGGUUCCGGACCCAGUCCGUAUAGUUGCUGCCAUCAUCUUUCAGCUUGGUUUUCUCUAGGAACGCGUUGAAGUUCAUGUUGACGUUAGCGUUGGCCAUUGAUCUACAAGACAUAUUUGCAAAGGUUUUAGACUAAGUUCAUGAUAAUAAAGUUCUAAUCAAAUUAUGAACUCCCACUUAGAUUAGACAUCCCUUUAGUCAUCUAAGUGUUACACGAUCCGAGUCGACUAGCCCGUGUCCGAUCAUCACGUGAGACGGACUAGUCAUCGUCGGUGAACAUUUUCAUGUUGAUCGUAUCUUCCAUACGACCCGUGUUCGACCUUUCGGUCUCCGUGUUCCGAGGCCAUGUCUGCACAUGCUAGGCUCGUCAAGUUAACCCUAAGUGUUUUCGCUGUGUAAAACUGUCUUACACCCGUUGUAUGUGAACGUAAGAAUCCAUCACACCCGAUCAUCACGUGGUGCUUAGAAACGACGAACUGUAGCAACGGUGCACAGUUAGGGGAGAACACUUCUUGAAAUUUUAUAAGGGAUCAUCUUAUUUACUACCGUCGUCCUAAGUAAACAAGAUGCAUAAUACAUAAUAAACAUCACAUGCAAUUAUAUAGUUGUGACAUGAUAUGGCCAAUAUCAUAUAGCUCCAUUGAUCUUCAUCUUCGGGGCUCCAUGAUCAUCUUGUCACCGGCUUGACACCAUGAUCUCCAUCAUCAUGAUCUCCAUCAUCGUGUCUUCAUGAAGUUGUCACGCCAACGACUACUUCUACUUCUAUGACUAACGUUUAGCAAUAAAGUAAAGUAGUUUACAUGACGUUAUUCAAUGACACGCAGGUCAUAUAAAAAAAUAAUGACAACUCCUAUGGCUCCUGCCGGUUGUCAUACUCAUCGACAUGCAAGUCGUGAAUCCUAUUACAAAGAACAUGAUCUCAUACAUCACAAUUCAUCAUUCAUCACAACUUCUGGCCAUAUCACAUCACAUGAUCAAUCGCUGCAAAAACAAGUUAGACGUCCUCUAAUUGUUGUUGCAUCUUUUACGUGGCUGCAAUUGGGUUCUAGCAAGAACGUUUUCUUACCUACGAAUCACCACAACGUGAUUUUGUCAACUUCUAUUUACCCUUCAUAAGGGCCCUGUUCAUCGAUUCCGCUCCAACUAAGGUGGGAGAGACAGACACCCGCCAGCCACCUUAUGCAACUUGUGCAUGUCAGUCGGUGAAACCGGUCUCACGUAAGUGUACGUGUAAGGUUGGUCCGGGCCGCUUCAUCCCACAAUACCGUUGAGCAAGAAAAGACUAGUAGAGGCAAGUAAGAUGACAAAAAUCCACGCCCACAACAAAGUUGUGUUCUACUCGUGCAAAGAGAACUAUGCAUAAACCUGGCUCUGAUACCACUGUUGGGGAACGUUGCAGAAAAUUAAAAUUUUUCCUACGGUUUCACCAAGAUCCAUCUAUGAGUUCAUCUAAGCAACGAGUCUAGGGAGAGAGUUUGAAUCUACAUACCACUUGUAGAUCGCAUGCGGAAGCUUGCAAGGUGAUGAUGUAGUCGUACUCGACGUGAUCCAAAUCACCGAUGACCAGCGCCGAACGGACGGCACCUCCGCGUUCAACACACGUACGGGACGGGAGACGUCUCCUCCUUCUUGAUCCAGCAAGGGGGAAGGAGAGGUUGAUGAAGAUCCAGCAGCACGACGGCGUGGUGGUGGAUGCAGGGCGUCACAGCAGCAGGGCUUCGCCGAGACUACGAGGGAGAGACGUAACGGGGGAAGGUGGAGGCGCCAGGGGCUGGUGUAUGAAGUCCCUCCUCUCCCCCACUAUAUAUAGGGGUGCCAGGGGGGGCGCCGGCCCUAGUAGAUGAGAUCUACUAGGGUGGGCGGCGGCCUAGGGGAGGUUUCCCUCCUCCCCAAGGCACCUAGGGGUGCCUUCCACCACUAGGACUCCUCCUAGGGGGAAACCCUAGGCGCAUGGGCCUAUAGGGGCUGGUGCCCUUGGCCCAUGAUGGCCAAGGCGCACCCCCUACAGCCCAUGUGGCCCCCCAGGACAGGUGGCCCCACCCGGUGGACCCCCGGGACCCUUCCGGUGGUCCCGGUACAAUACCGAUAACCCCGAAACUUGUCCCGAUGCCCGAAAUAGCACUUCCUAUAUAUAAUUCUUUACCUCCGGACCAUUCCGGAACUCCUCGUGACGUCCGGGAUCUCAUCCGGGACUCCGAACAACAUUCGGGUUUCCGCAUAUACAUAUCUUCAUAACCCUAGCGUCACCGAACCUUAAGUGUGUAGACCCUACGGGUUCGGGAGACAUGCAGACAUGACCGAGACGCUCUCAGUCAAUAACCAUCAGCGGGAUCUGGAUACCCAUGAUGGCUCCCACAUACUCCUCGAUGUUGUCAUCGGAUGAACCACUAUGUCGAGGAUUCGAUCAAACCCUGUAUGCAAUUCCCUUUGUCAAUCGGUACGUUACUUGCCCGAGACUCGAUCGUCGGUAUCCCAAUACCUUGUUCAGUCUCGUUACCGGCAAGUCACUUUACUCGUACCGUAAUGCAUGAUCCCGUGUCCAACACCUUGGUCACAUUGAGCUCAUUAUGAUGAUGCAUUACCGAGUGGGCCCAGAGAUACCUCUCUGUCAUACGGAGUGACAAAUCCCAGUCUCGAUCCGUGUCAACCCAACAACUACUUUCGGAGAUACCUGUAAUGCACCUUUAUAGUCACCCAGUUACGUUGUGACGUUUGAUACACCCAAGGCACUCUUACGGUAUCCGGGAGUUACACGAUCUCAUGGUCGAAGGAAGAGAUACUUGACACUUGCAAAGCUCUAGCAAAACGAACUACACGAUCUUUUAUGCUAUGCUUAGGAUUGGGUCUUGUCCAUCACAUCAUUCUCCUAAUGAUGUGAUCCCGUUAUCAACGACAUCCAAUGUCCAUAGUCAGGAAACCAUGACUAUCUGUUGAUCACAACGAGCUGGUCAACUAGAGGCUUACCAGGGACAUAGUGUGGUCUAAGUAUUCACACGUGUAUUACGAUUUCCGGAUAAUACAGUUAUAGCAUGAAUAAAAGACAAUUAUCAUGAACAAUGAAAUAUAAUAAUACUUUUAUUAUUGCCUCUAGGGCAUAUUUCCAACAAGGGGUUGAGUUCUUUUUAUGAUCAGGUCGCUAUCCAAGUGGCUAUGCUUUUAUAACAUAUACAUGGGUUUGUGCUUACAGAUUAUGACCAUGAAAGAACAUUAGCAUAUAGGUGCUUUUAUAGCGUAUACCUUGCUUAGUCGACUAUGGUGCUUGCCCAAAUGCUUGCUCGGCUGUCUCUACUUGCCGCCCAUGCCAAUGGACUAAGUAGUUUUAGCUACAACUCGUUUAUUCUCCAUUAGCACAAGCAUAACUCAUAUAUAAACACUUCAGGUAAUCGAGUGUGUGGAUCUAAGUGUGAUUUUAUUGAUAGUCACUCGGAUUUUUUCCAUCUGCUUAUUGUUUGUAUAUGCGCAAGAUAACAGUUCCUCCUUGCUGGUAAAGGAAAUUUAUGUAGGAAGAAUUUAGGUAGACAACAUUCUUAUUGUUUAUAUAUGCAUCAAGCAAUAGUUGGUGCUUGUUGAUUACAUUAAUGGUAACUACAAAAACCUUUCUAUCCUUAGCAUUAUCGGGGUGACCUCUCAUAUUUGGAGUCAUACUUCAUUAUUAUGAAUAACGAAUAUUGUCAACAAUCUGAAGAAGAGUUGCUUUCUGCUCGGAGAGUGAUGUGUGUUACUAGUCUCUUAUUUAGUGUUGCUCUAGGAUCGGUAGUACCAUAUGAAAGGUCAAACAUUUCAUUCCUCUUUUGUUCUGAUGCAGAUGCUUGCUUAUGUGGUUGCAGAUCAACUUGCGAUAUGUCAAGCAGAUCACCGUGUCACAGAAUGAGUAAUUAGAGAAGAGUGUUUUCACCAAAGGCGAGGUGAGAUAUUUUUGUUCAUCUUGGUUGUAUUUAAAUUGAGAUUUAGCUACAGAUAAUCAUUAAUCAACUAAUGUAAUGUAAUUUAUUUCUAAUGUUGAGUCAUUCUUUGUACCUUUACAGUGAACGAAAAUAGCUAUGAUAAUCAUUAAUCAAACAUUUCAUUCCUCCUUUUGUUCUAAUGUUGAGUCAUGCUUGUGCUUUACAUGAAUCAUUCUUCAUGCAUCUUUAAAGUGAAAGAGAAUAGCUAUGAUAAUUCAUAUUAUUGUUGCUCCAUGUUGUGGCUAAGCUGAAUGUAUGUCAUUCUUUGUACCUUUUCUACUGCUUCUACAGAGUCCUGGGUUCACGUGCAUGCUUCACUAAAUCAUUUCCUUAUGAGCUAGAAUAAGAAUUUUCCAAUCGGUAGUUUUAUGCUGAGAUUGUUUAUGUUGUGAUGUACUUUGUGUGAAUGAUUAUUCUCUGUUCUUUGCCUCGGAUAACUACAAAUGAAGAGGUAUGAAGGAUUGGCCGAGAAACUGAAUGAGAUUGUUCAUGUUGUGAAGUACUUUGUGCGAAUGAUUAUUCUCUAUUCUUUGCCUCAGAUAACUACAAAUGAGGAGGUAUGAAGGAAUGACUGAGAAACUGAAUUCAACUAUACUUGAUUUAAGGUAUACUUUGGCCGCUUCCUUCUAUCCUUUGUGUUCCUCCUCACGUGUGUUAUUAGUCUUUUCUCAAGCCUUUGUUCCAUUUAGAACUUCAAAUGUUGAGAAGUAUAUUUUGCUGAGUAAAUGAACUGACAAUAGGUAUACAUUUGCUGUACUUUUGAGGUAUUCACUGUUCACUUCUUUUUUGAGAUGCUAUAUUUCUACAAUGUAGUAUCUGUUUUUGUAUAAACACAUCACACACUUCUAUGUGCCUUAAUGAUCUCGUGCUAUUUUUCGUAGUAGAGAUGCAGCAUACCCCGAUUUAUUUGGCAUCUCUGCACCUUUACUCCUGUUGCUUUCUAGGGGAUGCUUACUGAAGGCCUCGCACAAGCCAAACCAGGCUAUCGUUUAGAGAGAAAAACUAUACAUGCUAAGAAGACAAGCUCAAGUAGAAUAAUACCACAUGUAAAUGACAAUGUUUUUUUUCAUAGGUACCCAGCGUUGACUUGGCUGUGGUUAAAAGGAUCUAUGUACUGGUUGACGUUGGGGAUCAUCUGCAUGUACACCAACGACUCCUGCUUGAGCCUUUUGUAGAAUUGGCAUGUGUUAAGUAGUUGUACUAUGAUUUUAACCUGCUAAAUGUGGAACAUACAGAAGCAUUACUAUCAUUUAGUUGUGUGUGUGUGCCUUGUACUGAAUCAUUACUAUUAUACGUGUUCUGCUUAUCCCACCUCUUUGAGAAAUAUUGUUUUCACAUAUCCCAUAGUUAGAUUCGUGUCUAAAACUGAGCUCUCUCAGAGCUUAGGCAAUUUGGGCAGUCCGAUCGGAAUCUCCUCGUGAUACAUGGCGUUAGAUCUCAGGCCAGAUCAAUGUGAGCCGUUUGAUAUUUACCCGGUCGACCUUAGCCCUCGGAUAAAAUUUCAAUUGCAACAAAUUGUAAUAUCCAUACCCCCACCAGGGCAUUUGGGUCAUUUCAUCGAGUGGGAUAUAAAAUGGUGGCGGCUCCCGUGAAGAGAACCUAGCCGCCUCCUCCUCCCUCACUCGUGUGCCCUCUUUUCUCAAUCCCCCUCCCUCGAACCCUAGAUCUCUACUGCCGCCGCCGCCAAUCAGUCUAGAUUUGUAUCUGCGAUGCCCACCUCGCCUCAGGUGAGCGGGAUCCGUCGUGCGAAGGUAGAGGUGAGCGCCCUCUCCUCUCCACUUCCCCCAUUUCCUCUCUCUCUCUCUCUCUCUCUCUCUCUCUCUCUCUCCCCCUGCAUGUGUGUGUUCUGAUCCUUAUUUUUUCUGCAGCUCGACAUAUAGGUCAGUGUGUGUAUGCUGCAGCUCCAAAGGGACGAAUGUCGAGGUAGCCACUGCUCCAGUCGAGGCUAGCACGCCGUAGGUAUGAAUCGGGUCCCUAGCCCCUUAUGAGCCCUACUUUUCAUGGAACAAGGCACAGCUUCUGCUUUUUCUUUUGGUAAAAAGGAAUCACUAGUGUUACGUCGGUAGCCUCUCUGCAAGUUUGUUCUGCCCUUUUUGACAUUUUUUAUUCUAUCUUGCUAUGCGUUGUACUUUCUCCGUACGGAAAUAGCAUUUAGGUCACUAAAGUAGUGAUUCAAAUGCUCUUUUAUUUCCUUACAAGAGAGUAUCAUAUUAUAAUUGUGUGCUCAAACCAACAGAGCUUAAUUCACAUAUUUAAAUAUUUAAGAAUGCGGGGAUGAUGCCCAACAUAUGAAGCUAUGUAGGAGAUGAUUUUGAGGUAAACAAGCCUUCAGCUUGCUUUCUGUUAACCUUUUUAUGCAUGGGUUUGGAUGUAAGUACCCGCUUUCUGUUAUAGAAAAUUGAAGAGUCGGCAACAAAUGUCAGACUGAAUGCACACACCUUAUAUUUUUAGGUGUUUGGUCAGAGGCGUCAUCAAUGUACUUGCCUCAUCGAAAAGGCAUAUAUGUUGAUUUGUUUUUCUUUUCUUUCAUAUUCAGUUAUUUUGGAAUAGCCAUGGUAGCUUUUUUUACUACAUCUAUUUGUUCUUUCAGGUACUCCCUCCAUAAACUAAUAUAAGAGCGUUUAGAUCACUAAAAUAGUGAUCUAAACAUUCUUAUACUAGAUGAUGCCCCGCACGUUGUUGCGGGAAUAUUUUGCAACAUAUUUUAAUAUGAUUCGUUGUAUGAAUAAUGAAUAACUGAAGUAAUAAUAUAAAAAGCUAAAACUGAAAAUACAUAUAAUUUAUUAUGUUUGAUUACUAUAUAAUUGUAUUUUUUUAUUAACUAUAAAUAGCAUAGUAGAAUGAAAAUUCUCUUGGAUGUUUGCAUGUUGAGAUGAGUCUUUUUUUCAUGCAUGUUUAAUGAUGAAGUGACAUGCUUGCAUGUUGGGAGACAUAUGAUAGUGAAGGUGGGCAUUUUCUCAUGCAUGCUAUGCGAUGAUGUGGCAUGCUUGCAUGUUAAAAAAAAUAGUUAGUGGGGGCUAGCUAUUUAGAUAUAGAAGAUAGAAGAUUAGUUUAUAGAGGGAGUAGGCCAUUAAUCCAAAUUUGAAGAGUAAAGGACUCACGUUUCUCUCGCGCAGGACCGACCGAAGGCCUUCUGAUCCAGCAAAACCCCCCAAACCCCAUAUAACGAGGCCGCGCCAUGGAGUUCCACUUCCGCGCCGGCGAGGAGCGCUGUCCGUCGACGGGGGCCGCGGCUACGUCGGCCAACUCCGAGACAGCAGGUGAUCUCUCCUCGCUGAUGAUGGGCGGCUCUUGGCUCUUGAUGCCUCUCUCCCGCUGAUCUUAUUCCCUUUGGUGAAGCCACGCGCGUGAAUGACGGUCUCGUCGGCGGCGACAGUGCGGGGUACCAUGGGGAGAGCUCACCGCCGCCGGCAUUGGAUCCGGACGACCUGCGGCGCCGGGCGGCAAAGGAGAGGAUAAGGGAGCGGAUCCUGCACGAGGAGGCGGAGGCGAUGGCGCUCGAGUUCGAGGUCCGGCGUGAGCUCAUGGAAGAGCGCACCAGUUUGCUCGCGCAGUUGGCCGGCGGGUCGGAAACUAGGGCAGCGCCGGCGGUGCCAUCGCUGAAGACGGCGCCGAUCGAUCACCAGGUCUGCUGCUCUGCAUGCUGUCCUCUUGAGGAUUUCACCACGCGGAUCUUUUUUAUCACUUACUAUUGGAAUAUGCGUGUUGUUCAGUCUGUGCAGGUUGGAUCCAAAGUAGACGUGUCUGCGGCCAUGGCAGCCAAGCGGAAAACCCCUCAUGCCGCUGCUGCAUCCGUUGUUUCGGCGGCCACAGGCAGCAAGAAGCAGAAGCCUGCUCUGACUUGCACGGUGUGCAACAUCACGGCAACCAGUGAGGUUGCCCUGCAAGAGCACCUCGGAGGGAAGAGCCACGUGAGGAAGGCCGGUAAACCUGCGCAGCCUCACCCAGAGGAGGAUGUGGUAAUAAAAUACAUCAUAUAUAUACACAUUUCAGUUUUAUCUAGUCGCGUAUCCGGACUGGAAUUAAGAAUAAUGUAAAAUAUAUGUUUCAUUGCGAUAUCCAUAUAUCUGAUUGGUCGAACUAACAUGCUCUUUAGGUGAAAAAAAUAGAUAGAAUAAUGGUCAAGUGUGCUAUACAUAUGAUGUUAAAAGCAUCAUAGUAUCUCCAAAUCAAACCCACUUGAAUUGGGUUUCCAUUUGCACUAGCCUUACAUUUUCGUAACUAUAUAUGAAUCCGUGUUUGUUUUCCUAUGAAUGAAAGAUAUGCAUGCUUGUGCGUGUCCUAGAAAAAAGAAUACAUGAACACGUAUUUUGUCUGGGCUUGAGUCCAUAGUCCAGACCACUGCAAUUCUUUUUUGUUGACACCUUGAUACCCUAGUAGUAAUGUUGUUGAAUUCACUAGUAUUUUUGGAUUACCUACAUUUUACAGCCCAGCUAGCUAGAGUGGCUUGGUUAGGUGUAACUUGAAAUACCAGUAAAUCACACAUUUUGAGGAAUAUAAAUAGGUCUCUUGACGAUUUCACCAUGAAUACAUACAACAAUUCUAUAUCUACAGAGAGACAUAAGAUUAUUUCUUAUAUGUGUCAAAGAAUUGACCGGUUUUGUGUUAUUUCUUAUAUGUGUCAAAGAAUUGACCGGUUUUGUGUUUGAUGCAGUUAGGUUUAACUUGUAACACCAUUAAAUCACACAUUUUGAGGAACAUAAACAGAUCUCAACUGCUUCUGAUUUCACUAUGAAUACAUACAACAAUUCUAUAUCUACAGAGAGACAUAAGAUAUUUCUUAUAUGUGUCACAGAAUUGACCGGUUUUGUGUUUGAUGCAGUUCAGCUUGAAGGUAAAUGGGUCGCCAGCCUUACCGGCCAAGGGGAAAAACCCUGGUGUAGUUGUCACUUCGAUGGCUCUCGCUGAAAAAAGUUGCAACAACUUGGGUUUGAACUGCAUGGUCUGCGGCAUCACAGCAAGCAGUCAAAAGAACAUGCAAGAUCACCUCAAAGGGAAAAUUCAUAUGAGGAAGACUGCCAUGCUCGCGCAGCCAUAUCCUAAGGAGAAUGGGGUAAGGAAUAUGGUUUGGACUUUGCCAACACUACCCAAAUUCAACAAAACAACAUAUGUGUUUUACAGUAGCAUGGUUAACUAUAAUAUUCAUAAUUUCAUAGGAGGCUGCUUGAAUCGGUUUGCUUUCCAACUCAUUUAUUGAUCACAAUACUGCCUCCUUACAAAUAUGUAACACCCCCUCAAAUUUUGAGUCUAACUUCGACUAUAAAUUUGACUAAUAAAACUGAGUUGUAUGCCACAAAAAAAUAUAUCACUGAUUAUGUAUCUGAAAGAAGUUACAAAUGCUAUAGUUUUUGUGGCAUAUAGCUGACAUUUUAUUAGUCAAACUUAUUGUUUAAGUUGGGCUCAAAGUUGGAGAGGGUCUUAUAUGCUUGAAAGUAGGUAUUAUUCUGAUGCUAUUAGUGUAUAGUGCUCUUUCUUUUUUAUACAAAAGGGCCCAAACUGCAAAUCCAGUAAUAAUACAAGGCCAAAGUGUACCACGAUUUCUGGAACAUAUAUAAAGAGGUUUCAAAGGCUAUUUAAGCAUGAUUGCGGAGAAACCAAUUUUAAAUGUUCUUACAAAUGUCUUUGGUGCUAAUUUCUAGUCUAGUAAAGUGUUUGCAUUCUUCCAUUAUCUUUGAACAUUAAGAGGCGUGAGAAGCACGGGAGCUUGCGAGAAGGGAUUUUCUAAACUUAGGGACAUAUGAACCCUAUAGCCUUAUACGGCUAAAAAAUAUUGUAGAAGUUUGAUAAAAUACCAAAUGAAUCAUGCUCAUAGAGGAUGGGUACAAGUAUAUGCAUCGAAAAUUAAAAACUUAAAUAUGACCUGUAACUUACAUCGUUCCUUGUUUAUCUAGGGCCUAGAUUCAUUUGAAAAUUAGGUAUAGAUUCUAGGCCUCAUACAGUCAUUUAAGUUUUAAGUUUGCACACGCAUACUUGUAUCCAUCCCUAAUUGCGUGAUUUAUAUCAUAUUUUUCUGAAACUUAUGCGCAUAUUUUUAGGGUGUAUAAGGUUCAGAUGUACUCCCUUCAUUCCAUAAUUCUUGUCUUGGUUUAAGUUCAAAAACAUAGAUUCAUCGUCAAUGCCACUUCAAAAACUUGGUAUUUCAGGAAAUUCCACUAUCAAUGUUGCAGCGAGGGAUGUGCCACCAGUGUCUUUCCAAGUUUGGUGCUAGUGUCAUCUCAGUCCCUUUCCUGUCAAUCUCUCCUUCCCUGGCCAUAUGAUGUUCUGGUUUUGCACCGUCCCUUCAAACGGUUCAAAUCGAUCAACCUUGUUUGGUUUCAUUCGACAUUAUAUUUUGACAUCUUGUCAUUUCUCAAGACGUGGUCAGGAAAAACCAGGCAAGGUUGAUCGAUUUGAACGGCUUGAAAAGACAGCAAAAAUGAAACAUCACAUGGUCAGAGAAGGAGAGAGUGAUAGAAAAGGGACUGAGAUGGCACUAGCACAAAGCUAUGAAAACAUUAGUGGCAUAUGUCUGAAUACACCAUUUUUGUUUUGAAGUGGGAUUUUUGUUCUUCCUCGGGUCUGAAUACACCUAAAUGAGUGUCUGCUUAGUGGAGUUUGUGUUUUUUCAUGCAGGUCUGCUCAAAACCAAAUGCAUCAGCAGCCAUGCUACCGGCCAAGCGGAAGAACUCCGACGUUGUCCCAGCCGCAUCCACCCUUUCAGCAGGGCCAAGCAGAAAGAAUCAGAAGCAGGAUCACCUCAAAGGGAAGGCUCACAUGAAGAUGGCGGCCUCGCUUGCGCCUGGGGAAGCGUGGGAAGAGGCAGAGGUGGAAGGCGGCUACACGCCGUGGAAGUUCGAGAUGGUGACCGGCUCCGGGACAUUGUGCGAGGUGGUGCAGCUGAACGGCUCCAUCCUCUGCGAGGUGUGUGACCAGCAGGCCCCCGACCGCGUCACCAUGAUGUGCCACCUCCAGGGGAGCAAGCACAUCUCCAAGCAGGCCAAGCAGAAGCAAUGCGAAGCCGUCACUGCUGAUGGCGAUGGGCCAGGAUCAGAAAUGGUGCCCAUGGAGGCCAAUGGCGUGGGCCGGGUGGACGGUGGCUCCCUGCUGUGCGAGCUCUGCAACGUGAAGGUGGCGUCAGAGUGCGACAUGGAGUCUCACCUGUCCGGAAGGAAGCACACCAACAAGGCGAAGGUGGCUGCAGUUGGUGUAGGUGCAUGUGGCAACGGGUCAGGGUCAGAAACUGUGCCCAUGGAGGCCAACGGCGUGCGCCGGCUGGACGGCGGCAUCCUGCUGUGCGAGCUCCGCGACGUCAAGGCCCCAUCGGAGUGCGUCAUGCGGACUCACCUGUCCGGCCAGAAGCACACCAACAAACUGAAGGCCGCCACUGACGCCGGUGCAGGACAGGAGGUGAAGAAGGCUGCCGCCGCUGCCGCCACGAUCGGCAGCCCAUCCAAGGAAGCCGCCUCCAUCGUCGUCAAUGGCAGUGAUGACUCGGUGAAGAAACCAGCAGCGGGAGAGAUGGAGGUAGCUGUGUCAUCGGCAGGACAGGGGGUGAAGAAGGCUGCCGCUGCCGCCCCCACGAUUGGCAGCCCUUCCAAGGAAACCGCCUCCAUCAUCGUUAAUGGCAGCGAUGACUCAUUGAAGAAACCAGCAGCGGGAGAGAUGGAGGUAGCUGUGUCAUCGGCAGGACAGGGGGUGAAGAAGGCCGCCGCCGCCGCCACGAUCGGCAGCCCAUCCAAGGAAACCGCCUCCAUCGUCGUCAUUGGCAGCGAUGACUCAUUGAAGAAACCAGCAGCGGGAGAGAUAGACGUGGCUGUGUCAUCGGCAGGACAGGGGGUGAAGAAGGCCGCCGCAGCAGGCGGCACGAUCGGCAGCUCAUCCAAGGAAGCCACCUCCAUCGUUGUCAACGGCAGCAAUGACUCUGUGAAGAAACCAGCAGCGGGAGAGAUGGAGGUGGUAGUGUCAUCGGCAGCGCCUCAAUUGGAUGUCGCCGCCCAGGUCUGCGCCCGUGUCUCCUCCGUGGCGCCCAUGGAAGUAGACGAAGGUGCUGCCAAAGCUGAACAAGAGAAAGCUGAUGCGGAUGAAGAGGGAGCCGUGGAGAUCGACGGAGGCUCCGCCGUGACCGGCGAGAAGUAUUACAUCAAGGCGGAGGGCAAGCUGUUCGUCACGCUGCGCCAGGCGGACGACAGCCUCUCGUGCGGCCUGUGUGCCGUGCACGGCUGUGACAAGCGCGGCAUGAUCAAUCACAUCUACACAAGGGACCACUGGCGCAGAGCCCGUAUCGCCGAGGAGAAGAAGCGGGCGGUGAACAACGACGGCACUGGCGCCGGCAUCCCGGUCACCGACGGAGUGGCUCAGGUCGACAACUGACGGCAGCCGUGUGUGAAUUUGGGACGGCGAUGUGUGCUGAAGUUUGUUGUGAUGUACUACCUUUAUGUGUGUAUGGACCUGUUGAGACUGUAUGUGUGUAUGGACCUGUUGAGACUCCAGUACAAUUGUUGAACCCUCGUGUGGGUUAAGUCUCAAGUGUGAGUGAACUUGGAACUAUCUGAGCAUUUUCUGCCAGUACAACUUGUUUUAGACUUCAGUACAAUUUCUUUCCAACUAUUUUCUGCCUGCAUCUUUUGGUAGUACUCCCUCCGUAAAGAAAUAUAAGAGUGUUUAGAUCACUACAUUAGUGAUCUAAACACUCUUAUAUUUCUUUACGGAGGGAGUACUAUUUACUACUCCCUCCGUCCCAUAAUAUAAGAAUAUUUUUGACACUACACUAGUGUCAAAAACGUUCUUAUAUUAUGGGACGGAGGGAGUAACUUGUUUUCAAAUCAGCCAUACCAGCAAACGAUGCCUGGAGAAGAUCGCUCCCAGCCACACCAUUAUCAUGAUAACAGCAGUUUGAUCAAUAAUCUGGCUGCUGAUACAGCGCCCAUCAGGAGAAGGGAGAACUUCAAAACAGCAGGGUUACAAAGGCAGGCAUGCAAAAGGAUGUACUCCCUCCAUUCUCCCUCCAUUCCUAAAUAUAAGUCUUUGUAGAGAAUUCGCUAUGGACAACAUGCAGAUGUAUGUGGAUGCAUUUUAGAGUGUAGAUUCACUCAUUUUGCUCCGUAUGUAGUCCACAGUGGAAUCUCUACAAAGACUUAUAUUUAGGAACGGGGGAGAGUAAAUGAAUAAACAGAACUGCAGAGCCAUGCAUGAAAUACUGCCAGCGAAAAGGGCCAGGGAAUGUGCAACACAAAUCAACACGCAGUGGGUAUUAAGGAUGGCCUGUUCUCGAUAACAAGAUGGUGCAGCCUAUUCAGCAUGUCUUCAUAAGGACUACUACAUGACUUCAGAUGAAAGCUAGAAAAACUUUCUGCCCAAAAUAACCACAUCUUUUUUUUACAUGGUUUAUUAAAACCUUUCUGCUCUACUGGAUUUAUUGACGGUAAACAGAGCACAUUAUCUGAAGAAAGAAGUGCAAAAGUACAGUACAUGUACCCUCUGUUCAGCAGGCCAACAGACCGAAUGACAUGGACUAAAACGUGAUGUGAUACAUACCCCCAUCACAUGAGUUCAUCACAGUAGACUGAAUUGUCGAGGAAUGAAUUGUUUAUAGAAUGCUUGCUCGUCCUUCCUUCUUGGCAGCCGGCCUGUUCCCAGGGAAUGCAGUGCGGGAUACAUCAACGAGGGCCUUGAAGCUGUAUGGCUCAUGCAUCGACAGCUCCGAAAGUACCUUCCUGUUGAGUUGGACAUUCUCCUUCAUCAGUCCAUGCAUGAAGUUGCCAUAGUUCACCUGGGCAGUAAGUUCAGACAAUACAUCAAACACAUGUGCGUGUGCGUUCAGUAGCAAAACUAGAAACCCGAUAACUUAUACUUUGUUACAGGGACGAAGCUAGAAAAAAAUUGAUGGGGUCAGGUUUAUGACAGUGGGGUCAUCUUCUAUAAAUGAGUAAUGAUUAGUACUAAAUUAGUGAAGGAUUUACUAAUUUCAUUGGGGUCAAUUGACCCCAUUGCUUACAAGGUAGCUCUGUCCCUGCUUUGUUAUCGUAUUCUGCCUGGUUUCUUCGGAAAAAAAUAACAUGAGAAUGUAACAAACUCAUUUCCCUGUCAAACCUCGUAUGUUAAUAGAUACUACAUACCCCAUGGAGUCGUGUACCAGCAUUGAUGCGCUCGAUCCAGAGAGACCGCAUGUCCCUUUUCUUGUUGCGCCGAUCCCUGUAAGAAUAUUGCAAUGCUUUUUCUACACGCUCCCUGGCGAUUCUUAUGCAGUUUUUAGCCCUUCCUCGGAAUCCCUUGGCUAACUUAAAAAUCUUCCCCUUGUUCAUCUUUGAGGUCUUGGCUCACACAGUAUUUCCUCCCUAUAUUCACAACAUAAAAGUAAGAAGUUGGAGCAAAUUAUGAAUUACUGUAAUGAGAUAGAAGUUCAGAAUAAAACAUAGAGAAGUUGGAGCCAAUACUUCAGACAUUUAUUCCCCGAGAAGGGAAUGCAUAUGAAUAAAACAUACUUAAGAACAGUUAUUUUCAACCUAGACUUCUUCAGGAACCAGUUUAAGCUUCUCUACCCACAAGAGCUGUGGCAUAGAGAAGUCUAUAGACUGUAAGUAUCAGUUAUUCUGCCCCUUAGUUUAUUUUAUGUUCUGAUGAAGAGGCCAUGGACUGUAAUUAUGUGAAUCUUAACUUAUAUUGUGUAAUUUCUUGCUGUGUUUAUCAUAGAUAUUAUUAACAUCAUAAAACAAAUAUUACAACAAAAAUAAGAUGUAAUUGGUACUUGACAACAAGUUAGAUAAAAAGAGGUUGUGAAGGCAUUACAAGGUUUCCCCCCAAGAAAAGCAGUCACGAUAAAAACUAAUCAUCAAGGUACGACACUAGCAGCAAUAGCAUCAUGAACUGUGCCGACAGUCCGUUUUGAAUGACUCCACCUAUUUUGAAUCGCUUACACUCAUAAUUUCUCUUUGUGCGCUCACUGAACUUGUUUAUCAAAUUAACAUACCCAAGUAAGUUCAAACAUCAGGUGGGACAGUUAUUUACAUGUACUUCUUCGAUACGCACAUCAAGAGAAACUAUACAGGUCAUAGGAUCCAUCAUUACUUUCCCCCAUUUCCCAUUCUCAUCUAUGAUAUGUGACAAAAUGAAUGUUAAAACUGGAUAUGUGCUCAUUUGUUUAGUGACUACCAGAGAUGAAAAAAAUUGCGCUCAAAAAGGACCGGGUACUGCAUACUACUGAAUUAGCCGUCCGAUUAAAAAAUAACGUGAAAAUUAUAGCAAAUGCAAGCAGCAGUAGAUGUUGCAAAUGUGUGAUCUGCUUGCUAAUUCAACCGCCACCAACAAAGAAUCAUUUCCAACCAAUCCCGCACUAUCAGGUGGCAGGCAAGGGGCGUCAAGGGAUUCCGACGGUCGCGAGCUACGGCAAACAAGCACGCGGAUUCAGUAGCAGGAGCCGGGCCGGCCGUGCCGCGCGCGGUGGAAUCAUACACACCUCGCACGCGCGAGCGGGAUAUGUACAUGUGUGUGCAAGCGCGUACGUACCGAGAAGCAGGGAAGAAGAGCCGGUGCAGAGUCGGGAGCAGCUCGGAGUAGAGGGAGGCGACGGAGACCGGCGUCGGCGGCGGGCGGCGGGCGGCGGAGUGAGAGCUCGGGCGCGUGAGAGGAGAAACCUAGCGCUGCGUUUUCUGUGGAUCGAGCGAGCACGGGUGUGGGCCGAAUCAUAUUCUUGGGUGCCAAUCCGGCCCACAAGACGUCAAUAGCACCCGCGCCGCUAACCAGGGCCGGCCCCUUUAGCUGCCGCGCUUGUACAUCACUAGCCUCAUACGUUCAACGCUAUAAUAGGCCAGUCCAUAAAGUUCGCCUCCGACGUUUGUAAAAAAGGAAAGCAGACAACGCUGUGUGCAUGCAGAAAAUCAAAUAAUAUAUUGAAAUGAUUAUUUAUUUUUAUAUAAUAAUCGACAAAAGUAUAAGCAAUGAUUUUUUUAUGCAAUCAACACUGUGUUUCAUACUUUUACAUAGUGUUCAUGUAAUUUAAGAUAAGUUUUCUCAUACCUUAAAAGUAUUCCUGAAAUUUGUAAAAAUUGUUCACAUAUUUUUUUAAAUAAAUCAUGAAAUUUAAAAGGUUCUCGUACAUUUUAAAAACCAUGUACUCCCUCCAAUCCGAAUUAAUUAACGCAAGCUCAAUACAAUGUUAGUAAUGAAGAAACUGUUCCCAUUUUUUAUAAAAAAGUUCAUGUGAUCUUAAUAAAUGGUGGCUGUCGUGGCCGCGGGUGCCGCCCAAGGGGCUGCUCGAGGAGGCCAGGAGGAAGCUGCAACAGAGGAGGGACUGCGCGAGCCAGAUACUCAAGGCCGCCAUGGCGAUCAACAUCGAUGUGCAUGCUGAGAUGGAGAUCCCGGAAGUGUACUUUGAGUCGUUGCCACUUCCAAGUUUUCAUCCGUUUCCAAAUGUGUUAUGGGCAGUUUCCAGACUUUUCUCAUUUCCUCUCUAUAAGUGCUCUUUGUUUUGUGUAGGCCACAGUAGCAUGGUGUGAACCCCGCAAAAAAAAAAAGAAGUAGGAUGGUGUGCAUUUUCCAAAGCAUCCCCACAUAUACUGCAGACUCCAGUUCAAAUCUUUUUCUCUGCUUAUUCUCUUUUGUUGGCAGUUCUCCCAGCGUGAUUAUACAAAAGAUCAAACAGUGAUUAGGGAAUCAAAACAUAAACACUGAAAAGUUGCAUCGAAACACCUAAACCAUGAUAGCUCAAUGAAGGGAACCAGACAGAUUAUCUCAAUUUGGAAGCAAGUCGGGCCACUCAGUGAAGGGAUCAAUAAAAGAAGCCUUUUUUGUUUCAGGGUAUCAAAGAAUAGCGGCGGGUGACCCUGUAGGUUGAUGGCAAAGUCCAUCAAACCAUUCAUCGAGAGCUGAUGGGAAGAUCUUUUGCACAAAAUUUACCAGUGAAAUAGUAUAACUUUGAGAAUUGAGACUAAUAUUUUUGAAAGGAGAAAUAACUAUCAACACCUCGAGGAGAAACUUAUAUACAGGCGAUUCUCAUUCCAGCUAAAUUCUCAACUUCUGAUGAAGCCAUGAUUCUACACAGUUUCCGACAAACAACAAAUUCCCACACAAUACACUGGAAAAGGGGAAUAAGAAAUGUAAAUACAGGCGAUUCUCUCCCAGAUCACGAAUCAGGACAGGUACUCAAAAGGUUGGGGCGGCUGGGGCUCGUCGUCAACAGCCAUGGCAGAGGCACCCGACACCGGCUGCCCUGUCGCAGGGGCGUCGGUGAGCACAACAAGCUCCUCGGCCUCGCUGGGCUGCGUGUCUCGUAGGAGGAUGAACCCGCCGCAGGGGGCGGGCCUCACGGGACGUAUCGGCUGCCCUCGAUGAACUUGAUGAACUUCUCCUGCAGGGGGACGACGCAGGCUGGGUUCGACAGGAUCUGGAAGGCCGGUUCUGGCUCUGCGGCCUUCUUCUCUGCAGUGCUGUCCACCUGGGAACAAAGAUUGAGAGAGACCGGUCAAUCCAAAUGAGGCCACAGACUGACUGGGGUUGGUUCAUUACUGAGCAGCUAAGGGCUAGCUAUGCUCAACUGUGCUGUGAUGUCUAGUUGACUAGCAUAUGGUUUAAUUAAUUAUGGCCUGAACCUACCAAAGUUUGCAAAAUUCUGCCGUGAUGGGAAAAAGUUGAAGCCAAGCAGAUACAGUGAGGUUUUAUUCUUACCUGCAUUGCAUCAGCUGCCUUGCCAGAAGUAGAACCAGAAGCAUCUUCCGUUGUUUUCUCCUGGUUAGCUUUGCUUUCUGCUUCUGCUGCUGUCUUCUCCUGGUUAGCAGCAGCUUUGCUUUCUGCAUCCUUCUUCGCCCUAGAUUUUGCCUUGGCAUAGGUUGACAAAAUGGCCGUGGGCAGCUCAACAGCUGAAGUUGUAGUCUGCUCGGUUGUCGGCUUCGGAUACUCAAAGAGGGACGGCUUAGCAUGCGACAUAAAUUCAAACUUCGGCACUUCCAGAUUCGAGUUGAGACCGAUGAUGGCCGUUGGCGAGAAGGCCAGGCUGAUGAAGUAUAGGAGAGGAUACCAGUGCCAGAACUGGGUGAAAACAGCGAGGCCAAUCACAGCAGUGAGCUUGUCAUGCUUGUUCCUCGAGCGAAGUUUGAUUGUGACGUUCCUGCCACCGGCAUCUAGAAUGCCGGAAGCAAGGAUGGCGCCCAUUUUGCUCAUGAUGUCCUCGUGCUUGUCAAGAAUGAUCUUCUCCAACUGACGCCUAAAUGUUCCAACAUGAGAAUCAAAGGACUCAUUGGUCUGGAUCAUGACCAUUGCCAUAGCAAUUAGAGCCCCCUGGCGUACAAAGUCAACAACGUCCGAUGUGAGAGGCUCCAACAAAGAAAUGGCAUCACUUAACCCUGUGCCUGCACAGGAUAUCCCAACAGCUAGAGCUGCACCAUAACGAACGUGUGGGUUGUACGAUUCAGAGAGCAGGGACACAAUUCUUGGAGUCUGCAUGAUCAUAACAGAAGAUGUAAGUUGUGGAUCAAAGCUAUUGACAAGGUGUGGAUCAAAGCUAUUGACGAUUUUUUAUUUUAGCAUUUUUUUUCUAUUAGAUGGCAAAGAGAUGCAGCAGCAUAAAUGCAUAAUGAACAGCAGGUCUAUGUUGUUCCUUGGAAUAAAAUUGAAUAGAGGGCAGACCUGCUCAGGUUCGUUGUAUAGAACAAAUCCAAGACCCAUAACUGCAGUCCUACAAACAUCAUCACUGACGUCCGAUACAGCAAAAUGCAGCAGCUGAUGGAUGGCUUUGUUAUUUGCAGUUCCUCUGUACGCUAGAGCCAAUGCGUACAUACCACCGUAACGUAGUAUGGGAUCUUGAUCUCUAGUCAUUUGUUCGAUCAAGGUGUCAGCUUCCUCCUCCCUGCCAUACAUUGUCAAUGCGAUGCCAAGUGCCAAACCCCUGCGGAGAGAGAGAGAGAGAGAGAGAGAGAGAGAGAGAGAGAGAGAGAGAGAGAGAUGUCAGAAACAUGAGCUAGAUGCAUCUUCAGAAAUAUCGCAACAAUUAUUGAACAGCACUGACCUGAUAAUCUUUUCAUGCUGUGUAUCAUGUGCAUAAGCAAGCAUCUCACCGGCCUUCUCACUGGCUGUCCCAACCAUGAGCAAACCCAUGCCAAUACCAGCUGCUUCACCAGCUACUGCACUGUCUGUGUAAAGGACAUUCUUUAUGUCCUCAAACACUUCCUCAUCUGCUGUCCCAAGAGAUGCAAGCCCAAGUCCCAAACAGGCACCAUGCUGGAUGACCUGUAUAAUACGGUUUUGAUUAAGAAAAGUCACAACAUAAUUAGCAUUACGCGAGAAGGACAAGGAACAAAAUGUCACCUCUGCACUUGUGUUGCAAAGGCUUUCACGGAGGAAUUGUUUGAUUCCUUCGCCAUGGUUGGCAUGAAUCAAACCUAAAGCAUAGAGGGCACCACCUUCUGAAUAUGGACUGCCACCACCAACUGCACCAUUUUGAGGUAGGUACGGGGCCAUCAAAGCCCGACCUUGCUGAAGGUGGCCUCUAUGAAUGACACCCAGUCCAGCUGUUGCACUAAAUUUAGCCCAAUUGGUUGCCUUGCUUAACCAUUCCUAAAAGACAAUACCAAAAUGAGACAUUACAGGGGCGAAAAAAUAAACACUGCAUGGCAACAAAACAACCGGAUUUUUUAUUUAUUUUACCAGAUUCUCUCUUAAGAAGGUAUCUACAGUUGUUCCUGCAUGCAUGAUCGCAUUGGAACAAAUAGUUGCACUAUGGCAAACAUUGCCACUCGUUUCCACAGCCUGCUUUAUUGUCUUCAGAAUUAGAAGAUCAGACAUACGAAAGAAAUAAAUCCAUCAAGGUGAUGUCAGAUAUAAAAGUUGCAAGAGACCAAGGUUCAACGUUUAGGACAUAGUAAGUGUACCUGUUGUGGCUAUACAAAAACUGCAGCGUAAGCUGAAUAGACUUCUCCCCUGAUAGUAUCGCUUUAAGUUUUGCAAGCCUAUCAGCAUGCGCUGCCUCAUUUGGAUCCACUGGGUGAGCAUUUCUGUUUGAAGUAGUUGUGCCAUCUCCCAUCUGAACAUCACCCGCUGGUUCUGUGCUAGUUGCACCCGCGUUAACAGUCUGAUCAACCGGUAAAGCUGGCUGACCAGGAGUCUGUGAGUCCAGGCGAUUCCCCACAUUCAGAAGGAAGGCCUGAUUUUCAUUUUCCACUAGAUCAAAAGCAAUUUGGUAUGCAAUGAGAGCAUCAUCCUGCAUAAUGAACACAAUAUCUCAAGUAAGCAACAGAGACCACAAUGUAAGUAGUGUGGUGGGCAGAGUAAAGAACAAACAUAUACCUGGCUUCCAGAAAGUAGUGUGUCCAAUAUAUCCGCAACAGUUUCAGGCUCGCCCAGAACCAUAAGGCACUGGCAGAUGCUCAGAUAAUCUGGAUGCGGCAAAGUCUGGUAUAUUUUAACAAGACAGCGAAGAACCUGGCAAUAAAAUGAAUGAUUAGAUCAACACAUAAAGAAUGUUAUUUUUUGAUUACUCUAAACUAAUACUACUUGCUUUUAACUUAAUAAACCAACCAUACUGCCAAAUAAAUUUUUAACAUAAAAAAAUUAGGAUAUAUAAAAUGCCCCUACCUCAGAACGAUAUUCACGGUGACUAACACAUUGAUGAGAAAGGUUGAUGCAAUAUGAAAGAGCCCCGUGAAUAUUAGCACACCGAGCAAUUGCUCCCUCCAGCUUAUCCAGUCUCCUGCAUUCAACAGCCAUACCCAUGGCCUGUUGGUAUUUCCCGUCAAGAAUACACCUGCAGCAAACAGUAACAUUAGCUGAAUACUCCAUCUGAUAAAUAAGAGGAUAUGUGCAAAUGGUAGGAUAUAUNNNNNNNNNNNNNNNNNNNNNNNNNNNNNNNNNNNNNNNNNNNNNNNNNNNNNNNNNNNNNNNNNNNNNNNNNNNNNNNNNNNNNNNNNNNNNNNNNNNNNNNNNNNNNNNNNNNNNNNNNNNNNNNNNNNNNNNNNNNNNNNNNNNNNNNNNNNNNNNNNNNNNNNNNNNNNAUAUAUAUAUAUAUAUAUAUAUAUAUAUAUAUAUAUAUAUAUAUAUAUAUAUAUAUAAAAUCAUACCUCUUCAACAUCCUCUCCACUAUGGUCUCUAGUCUAGGAUCCACAUUCUCUUCUUCCUCCAUAGCUUUAGAAGCUCUUGUCUUGAAACUCGCAUAUUCAUCUAAUGCUUUGGCUGAAACAAAAGAAACACCAAUUCAACACUAUGAGCAAAAGAAAUUCAUGUGAAAUACUCCCUCCGUCCCAUAAUUAAGAGUUAAGACAACUAGAAUGAUUGAGAAAUAAAGACAAGUCCUCCACCUAAAAGAGCCUGAGCAUAAUCUGAAUCCUCAGAAACAUCAAACAGAGGUCCAGCACCAAGUGCAUACGACAGUGCAUCAUUUAACUCGCCCAAGUAGUAAAACACCUACAUGAUAAUGAUACGCAGCAGUCAUCAUCAAUAUAAGCAAUGCAAAAUACGCCGCUUCUAGAAAAGGUAUAAAAUAACAUGAGAUCCUACCUUAGAGACAACUAGUGCAGCAAGCUGUCUCUGGUCAAAUUCGUCGUCUUCAUACAUGCUCUCGCUGCAGGCAAAAGGAUAUGAUGGAAACAAGUUAUUGAUUUGCUUCCUUGGAAAUUCAGACAAGAAAUUUAUAAUCUGAACUUCGGUAACAAACAAUAGAUUGACUUCAAAACAUGUCAUCCGAAACUAUUGCAACUUUGCAAGUAACAGUUCAAUUGUCAGUCUGUCAAAGAUGUUUCUUAGCACAGGGCAAGCAUUACAACUGAUUAUAAGCAACCGAGCGAAUCAAACUCGUAAAACAACUUGCACCAAACUGAAAGUUGAAAGCUUUCUGAAUUGUCUCCCCUCCUCAGUUGACACCUCACUCCUACAACUGUCAGUUAUAUCUAUCAAAGUGCAAAGAGUUGAAAUUUUUACGAUUGCUACCAAAUACAGUACCAUCGUUUUGUGAAUUCGCUUCGAAGUCGAACUCUGUGUAUCCCUCAGGGAGGGCACAUCCGCGCACUCGGACCGGACGAGGCCAAGCAAACGAAUCGCGGGACGGAAACAUCAUCUAGGGAAACUUGUCUCCUACCGAAUCCUCGUCAGCCGGCCGGCAUCUAGGGCGCCGGCCGAGAGGCGGCGGCGGCAACUAGGUAUCGCGGGAAGGAUAGAUACGAGAGAGGGAGAGGGGCUCACAUGGCGGGGAUGCUGGUGGAGAUCUCCGGGUAGAAGAGGUGGACGACGGAGUUGAGGCUGGCGAGCGCGUGCAGCUUGAGCUCCUCCGCCGGCUCGUGGAGCAUGGCGAGGAUCCCGCCCGCCGAGCUCACCGUCGCCGCCGCCAUGGCCGCGUCGGCGAAGAGGUCGGGGUGCGCGACGGGUCUGUGGUUCGGUUGGGUGCGGGGCGCGUCGUGAGUUGGCUUGCGGACGAGCACGCGAGACGAGGUACGCCGGCGUUGCGGGCGAAUAUAAGGGCAGGACGGCGCGAUGGGUCGGUCGACUAGGAUAGGGAGUCGGGCGACCAGUCCGACGCCAAAUCCUUCUGCGCUCCUUAACGAAACGGGCCGGCCCACUUAGCACUGGUGUAGGAGUGGCCUGGCCGGUUUCUUUUGUGUGUUUUCUGUCCGUUUUCUGCUGCCGUUUGUUCAUUUUUCUAAACUUUUCUGUUUUCUAUUUAUUUUCCUUUUUAUUUUUCUUCAUUUUACUUUUCGUGAACUUUUCUUUUUAAAAUUAGUGAUUUUUUUAGAUUCAGAAAUUUUGACCAAAUUCAUCAACUUUUUCCAAAUUAUCUAAUAUUUUACCAAAAUUUGCAAUUUUUUCUGAAAUUCGUGACUUUUUCAAAUUUUGUUUUUUAAGUAAAAAAAAUUCAAAUUCAUGAACUUUUUUAAAAUUCAUGAACUCUUAUCCAAAUUCAUUAAAUGAUUUAAAUUCUUGCAUAUUUUUCAAAUUCAUGAAGUUUUUCAAUUUUGUUAAGUUUUUUCAAAACCCGUGAACAUUUUUUUUAUUCUAUGCUUUUUGAGAGCACAUGAACUUUCUCGAAAAAGAAAAUGGUCAACAGUCUAAGUCAAAGGUCAACUUAGCGAAAUGUGAACCAGUCAAACCAUCAACCCGCUCAGCCAUUCGCUCACCCGUGCCAUGUGGUGAGCACCAAUUUGUUGGGCCGGCCCACAAUCCCUCUCACGCGAGCAUCGUUUGCUUAACUAGGGCAGCAGGUGCUGACGAGGAGGUAUAUAGUCCUAUUACGUUUGUUGACUUCAUUCGCGAUUAGGUGAAAGAGUCAGUUUUCGUCCGCACCUAGGUGAAGACGACGCUUUCGUCCAAGCAUGGGCCAAAGAUGGGCUCUUUGUUGCGGCUCCGGGCGAAAAUCAUCUCUUCAGUCAAUGUUAGACCGAAGAGGGCUUCUAGGUCCACCUCUUCACGUAAACUGCCAACAAAGUUGCAUGUCGUUCUUAGGGCGGAUGAAAAGUUGCUCUUUGUUUUGUUGUGGACGAAAAGUUUUUUUUCCUAAUUGCUCUCAUCAUUCCCUCUCACGCCCUUUUCCUUCCCGCCCUUUCCCUUCCCGACAUCCCUCCCCCGCCCUUUUUCUUCCCGCCAUCACCUCUCCUGUGCUUUUUCUUCCCGACAUCUCACUCCUCCUCCUUUGUUCCUUUCCACUCGUUCUCUUGCCUCGCUAAUUCUAUUAAACUCCUCCCCUACUUGUUGAUUAUGAAUGCCCCAAACUUGUCCUCCAUCGUCCUCUGAUUAGCCUUCCCUCACCUUCAUCUUCUUCAAAAUUACCAGAAUCUAUAUCACCCGCUAAUCUAUCCUCAUCUUUCUCUUCCAUCACUCUGUGCAUUUCCUUCCCUUUCACAUUCCCAUUAGACGAACCACUACCACCAAUUACUAUUGAUUGACUGCUCAACCCUACUUCAUGACCAAUGAAAAUGUGUAACACAUAAUUUGACUCUACAUCGGGAUGGCUAACAUCCACUGGUUGUGACCCAGGUGGAUCAAUCUCAUUAUAAUUAAACGACUGGCUACCUUGGUCGGGUUCAUACACCCCACCGGGUCAAUGGAGGGCGUAAUUUUGUUUAGUUUGCAUCUUUAUGUGGUCUAGGUGGAGCUCCCAUAUUGCCUAAGUUCUGUACGAGGAAAUAUCUCGAGAGUAAAAAUUAACAUGACUUUCAUUUUAAAAUAUUAUUUAAGCCUACCAUUCAAGACCAUGCUUAGGUGCAUUUAUCUAUACCAAUAUAAAAAGACCCAAAUGGACAGAUCCAAACCAUCUCGACCGUCAAAUCAUUUUAUCUAGCGGUUCAAAUCGCUCCAAUAUUGAGCACCAAAUGCGUUUAACACUCUAAUUACCCACCACUGCCAUUGGUUAUAAAAACGUUGUCCCUCAAAAUCUGCCAUGUAAUUAAUAUUUUACCAUUCCUGCGAAAAAGUAAUUGAUAUCUUACCAAAUACCAACAUGCAACAGAUAUAUUUUACCUAAUAUAACGUGCAACUAAUAUCCUACCUAAUAUAAACGUGCAUUGCACAUACAUUAUUACUAGUUUAGUUAUAACAUAGUAAAAAUGUUCAGCUCGGUGCGGGUGUGUGGCGUCGCGAGUUCGGUUGCGGACGAUGAGCACGCGAGACGAUGUACGCCGGUGUGUGAAGGUACGGGCGAAUACAAAGGACGGCGCGAUGGUCGACUAGGAUAGGGAGUCAGACUAGUCCGACGCCAAAUCGUGCUCGGUGCGCAGACACCCCCGACCGAUACAGGUCAGCCCACUUCAUAUUGUACCGGUAUGCGGUUUCUAGUUGUUUUUUUUUGGCCGGUUCUUUUUUGUUUUUUCCUGUCUCUUUUUUGCUGGUUUUGUUAUUUUUUUCUUUCAAGUUUUGUCUUCAUUUUUCCUUCAUUAUUCAUUUUUAUUUUCAUGAAAAUUUCUUUUCCAAAUUCAUGAUUUAUUUUAAAUUCACAAAUUUUGUCCAAAUUUGUGAAAAAACAAAUAUCUUUUCCAAAUUCGAAUGUUUCCAAAUUCAUGAAUAUUUUCCCAAAUUCACAAAAAAAAUCAAAUUCAUGAAUUUUUUCAAAUUUCAAAGUUUUUCCAAAUUCACAGUCUUCCCUAAAUUUCUUAAACUUUUCAAAUUUGUUAACUUUUUAAAAACCCAUGAAUAUUUUUUUCAAAUGCUGCAAUUUUUAAAAUCACAUGAACUUUUCAAAAAAAAGUCAAUGGUCAAGGGUCUAAGUCAAUGGCCAAUCUGCCAAAAGGUGGACCAGUCAAACCAUCAACCCGCUCAGCCACUCGCUCACCCGUGCGUGUGGUGACCAUAGGUUUGUUUGGCCAACCCACAACGCUCUCUUGCGCGAGCACCGUUUGCUUAAUUGGCGCACAAGCGCUACGAAGGAGGUCUCUAGCUUGAAUGUGUUUGUCAACUUCGUUCGCGGCCAGGCAGAAGAGCCAGUUUUCGUCCGCACCUUGGUCAAAGAGAACGUUUUCGUCCACAUAUGGACCAAAGACGGGCUCUUCGUUGCGGCUCCGGACGAAAAUCAUCUCUUCAGUCAUUGUUAGAUUGAAGAGGGCUUCUAGGCCCAUCUCUUCGUGUAAACUGCCCAACGAAGUUGCAUGCCAUUCUUAGGGCGAACAAGAGUUGCUCUUCCUUUCUGUUGAGGAAGAAGUCUUUUUUUCGAUUGCCCUUCAUCAUUCCCUCUCACGUCCUUUUCCUUCCCACCAUCCAUCUCCUGCUCUUUCCCUUCUCGUCAUCCCUCUUCUGCCCAUUCCCUUCCAGCCGUCACCUCUCACACGCUUUUUCUUCCUGACAUCUCACUCGUCCUCCCAUGUUCCUUCCCACCCUCUUGCCUUCACAUAACGAAUUUCAUAGUUAUAUCUUGCUUUCACCGCAUUUUGGUGUGUUUCGCUUCCAUGUCUUUCUUCUCCACUAUCUCAUUUAUAGAUGAGUUGUGUUAUGAGAGUUGAAUUCAGGUUUGGAUGAUCAACUAGAAUGUUUUCCUCACAUAAUUAUAUGGAACAAUAUUAGUGACAACCCAGUGCACGUUUCACUUGGGCCUGUGGUCGUGCACCUUGUCGAGAACCAUUUUAAGCACAUUUCAAAGUUAUAAGUUUGUUUGACUUGAUAUGUGUGUGUGUGUGUGUGUGUGAAAACCCUAUGCACCGACAUAGCCCACUCCACUAUGUCACUUCAUUCUUCAGUUGUUUCUUUAUGGCAUAAAUAGCGCCUAUUUGGACUUAGUUCUAAUGAUAUACCCAUACAAACUCAUGGACUUCCAUCGAUUCAUGGUCAGGCCGGCUGCAGUUGAGAGGCCCUGAUUCCAUGCAUAAGGAAUUGACACCUCCUCCUCGUCCUCAUCCUUACUUUUUUUAGAACAAAGACGCCAGGAGCGUCCGGCUUUAACUGAAUAAAGCCCACAACAGACAGCGUACACGUGAAUAAAGUCUUUGUAAGUGCAUCUAGUGCCACCCCUAGUUGGUUUUGGAGUAUUGACGACAAACCUAGUUGAGGGACUAAUGUGUUUGUGAGAAUUGCAGGAUAACACAGGUAGAAGUCCCUCAUUGAUUCGGUUUUCCUAUCAGGGAUGACCCCUAAAAAUGUAUGAAGACAUUGAUGUCAAAGGUGGUAUAUGAAGAUAUUCACAUUGAAGACUAUGACAAGAGAAGACAUCGCAUGAAGCCUAUGGAGCUUGAAGACUUAGAUCUUUCGUAGUUCUUUUUCUUCUUCUUUGUUGAGUCAUAGGAACCACCGUACUGUUAAGUGGGGUCCAAGAGAACCAGUCAGAAUGACUGAAGUGAUGCUUAACCAAAACCUAUGUCUUCGAGUGAAGACUAUGAGAGCGAAUCUUGUCCAAAGUCGGACAAGUCAGCUUUGCUUGUAGCCCAAGUAAAGUUGCCGUGUGAGUUUGAAAUCUAACCGUUGGAACACAUAUCAGUUCCUUAGUGACCCAGGGUCAUUUCGGACAAAUCAGGUCGGGUUGCCUAGUGGCUAUAAAUAGCCCACCCCCUACAACCAUAAAUGGUUGGCUGCUCAGAGUUAGUAUACGGCUUUUGUCGUUUGAGAGCAACCCACGUCGAAGCCUUUGAGAGAGAAUUCCUUGCGAGGAUAAAGCCCUAACCACCCAGAGCCAAAGAGAAUUAGGCAUCACUUAAGUCUUCUUGUCUGUAUGAUCUGAAGACUUAUUACACUUGAGGACUGUGAAUCCUCCAGCCGGUUAGGCGUCGCGUUCUGAGCAUCCAAGAGACAUUGUGGAUCGCCGGUGAACGAAGUCUGUGAAGGUUUGGGAGUCUACCUUGAAGACUUACCAAAGUGAUUGGGCGAGGUCUGUGUGACCUUAUCUCAAGGGGAAUACGGUGAGGACUGGGUGUCCUGAGCUGCGUGUUCAGGACUGGGUGUCCGGGACUGUGUGUCCUCAGGUUUAAAUACCUAGCCGCCCUAACCAGACGUACAUUUGUCACAGCAACUGGAACUGGUCCAACAAAUCAUUGUCUUCAAUGUGUCACUGGUUUCAUCCUUUCCUUCCCUUUACUUACUGUUGGUCCUUGUGAAGUCAUUGUAUGAUUGCACUAUCUUUUAUCUUCACUGAGUGACUGCGUGUUCUGUUUGGCUUCAUAAUAUCUUCCUACCUGAUCCUUACUACAUUGCUGCUAUUAGUCAUUAUGCUUUCACUCCAUUGAAUACUUGACUAUGGUUUGCCUAGUGUAGUCUACCUUCCGCUGCAUGGUAAUAGGUUUAUUUCUAUCGUUUGUCUUCAUAACUUCUACGUUUUGAAGACUUUCAUAAAAAUCGCCUAUUCACCCCCCCUCUAGUCGAUAUAAUGCACUUUCAAUUGGUAUCAGAGCAAGGUACUCCCUUGUUCUGUGUGAUUCGGUUUAACCACCUGGAGUUUUAGCUAUGUCGACUACAGGGAUAAUCAAAGUCUCCACUGCAUGCCCCAUCUUUGAUGGAACUGAAUAUCCCUACUGGAAGAAUAAGAUGCGCAUGCAUCUUGAAGCCAUUGACGUCGACCUAUGGUAUGUCGUCAAGAAUGGCGUUCCCAAGGCUGGAGAAGGUGUCACUGCUGUUGACGUCAAGAAGUUCAUUCAACUGGACUCUACAGCCAAGAAUAUCAUCUGUGGCCAUCUGACCAAAGGACAGUAUGGCCGCGUGAGUGCUUUGGAAACAUCUAAGGUAGUCUGGGACUGGCUCUCCAAGGUCAACGAAGUCUCAACCCAGAGAGAUCAGAGAAUCAGUAUCCUUCACAACCUCUUCAACCGCUUCAAGAGAAAUGACAAUGAGAAUGUCCAGCUCACAUUUGAUCGACUCACUGACAUCACGAAUGAGCUUCAAGCCCUUGGCGCUACUGAGAUCACCAAGCAUGAAGUCAUCAAGACACUACUGAGAUCACUUGACAGUUCGUUUGACACCCUAGCCCUGAUGAUUCAAGAACGUCCUGAUUUCAAGACACUCGAUCCGUCUGACAUACUUGAGAGGCUCAACACACAUGAGUUUCAGCUUUCUGAGAAAAGAGAUAUCUACGGUCCUAACUAUGGGCGAACUCGUGCCUUGAAGGCAAAAGCUGUCUCCUCAUCUGAAGAAGAAUCUGACAGCAGUUCUGAUGAUCCUGAAGACAUUGGAAGGAAACUUGCUGUGCUUGUGAAGAAGUUCCAAAAAUUCACGAAGAAGAAAGGUUUCAGAAAGUCUUCACGAUCAAGCUCAAGGAACGAUGAAGCUUCUGCUCAUGACUACAAGAAGAAAACAUGUCACAAGUGCAAGAAACCUGGCCACUUCAUCUCUGAGUGUCCUCAGUGGGACAAUGAGAACAAGAAGAAGAAGAAGAGCAAGGAAUAUGACUCUGACGACAAGAAGAAGAAGAAAUACUCAAAGUCUUCUUCCAAGUCUUCUUCAAAGUCUUCAUCACACAAGAAGAGCUCAUCUGGCAAGGCACGUGUGUUUGUUGGCAAGGAAAUGGAUUCAGAGGAGGAGUCCGCUUCUGAGGAGGCGGAGGUGGAGUCUGAGGAGUCUGAUUCUGGCGUCGCAAGUCUGGCUACAACAUACGUUGCCAAGUCCAUCUUCAACACUGAAGACAAUGACCUCAUCACAGACACCAAUGCAAAUGACAAGGACUACUCCGCUCCUACCUAUUGCUUCAUGGCACGCGGUGCCAAGGUAAACACACGCACUACUCACUAUCAAACAUCCAGUGACGAUGACUCUGAUUGUGGUUCAAAACCCAGCUACAAAACACUUGCUAAAAUUGCAACUGAACAACAUUAAGCCAUGGAACAUAUUCAAAAACUGUUAGACAAAAGCGAUGAUCUGCAGGCGCUGAAAUGACUCGAUCUGAGUCCUUAAGUGAAGACAUAAAAAAUCUUCACGUUAAGUAUGAGGAACUUGAAAGUCGUCAUGAAAUGCUCUCAACAACUCAUGAAAAGCUUUCCUAUGAUUAUCUUCAAAGAAAGCAAGAUCUUGAGAAAUUGAGAGCGGCUCAUGAAGAUCUUCAAAAGGAAAAUGAGUCACUUCGCGCCGAACAGAUCAGCUCCGCUCAGGAAGGAUUUGAACCACCAUGUCUUAAGUGCAUUGAGCGUGAUAAUGCUACUACUGUUGCUGAAUGUUCUACUGCUGCUACUGUUGCAAUAUCUUCAACUGUUGAUGUGGGAACUAACCCCUCUGCUGAGGAUUCCAUUGCUAUUGCUGAUGAGAAUGCUAGGUUGAAGACAUUGCUUGAAACAGGGAUGUACAAAAGUCUUAAAGGGCAUCCGACACUAUGUGAUGUCCUCAAAAAGCAGAUCUUGAACCGAAACCCGAGGAAAGAGGGUGUUGGGUUUGUAAGGAAAAUGAAUGCUGAUGGCUCUUACUGGAAACCUGAGCAGUACCCCAAAACCACAUGGGUUGCUGCAAAGGAAUCUUCAGCAGAUCUAUCCAAUCUAUCUGGCUUCUCUUGUGCAAACCCCAUUGUCAUUGAUGAAUCCUUUGAUGCAAACUAUAAAAUGUUUAAGAAUCAGAAUGGAGAAGUGUUUGCCAGGUACAUUGGUACUAACUGCAAGAAUGGACCGCCUAUGAAGAAGAUCUGGGUCCCGAAAAAGUGUCUGGAGAAUCUUCCUGUGAAUGUCAUCAUGACACCACACGUGAAGAAGACAAACCUCAGACCACAGGCUUCAUACGGUCCAAAGGCAUCAUACAGAUAGAGGACUCACCUGAGUCGCACUAACGCAAAUGUUUUGCAGGGAAACCAUACUCGGGCCUAUGAAUAUGAGCGUGGUUCAUCAAACCGCCAUGUUCAUAAGACCAAGAACUAUUCUUCUUAUUCUUAUGAGUACUAUUGUCCGCCUGCAAGACUUUUUGCUAGGGCUCCAAAGCCAAAGUUCUCAGACGCUGCACUUAGACUUAUUGCUUCUAAGCCACCCUUGAAGAUGUGGGUGGCUAAGAAAGCUUAACUCUCUUUUGCAGGGAAAGGUCUCCAGCAGAAAACCAAAAUCGUCUGACGCUAUUGCUGGGGACCUUAAACAUCUUGUAGGGCGCAAGAUCAAAUGCCCGAAUGGUCUUACUAUUGGGGAACAUAGUAAUUUCAAAAAAAUCCUAUGCACACGCAAGAUCAUGGUGAUGCAUAGCAACGAGAGGGGAGAGUGUUGUCUACGUACCCUUGUAGACCGAAGCGGAAGCGUUGACGCAACGUAGAGGAAGUAGUCGUACGUCUUCCCGAUCCAACCGAUCCAAGCACCGUUACUCCGGCACCUCCGAGUUCUUGGCACACGUUCAGCUCGAUAACGCUCCCCGGGCUCCGAUCCAGCAAAGCUUCGGGGAGGAGUUCCGUCAGCACGACGGCGUGGUGAUGAUCUUGAUGUUCAACCAUCGCAGGGCUUCGCCUAAGCACCGCUACAAUAUGACCGAGGUGGAAUAUGACGGAGGGGGGCACCGCACACGGCUAAGGAACGAUCACGAAGAUCAAGUUAUGUGUUCUAGGGUGCCCCCCUGCCCCCGUAUAUAAAGGAGCCAAGGGAAGGGGGCGGCCGGCCAAGGAGGGCGCGCCAAGGGGGAGUCCUACUCCCACCGGGAGUAGGACUCCCUUCUUUCCUAGUUGGAGAAGGAGAAGUGGGAAAGAGGAGGAAGAGGGAAAGGAAAGGGGGGGCGCCGCCCCCCUCUCCUUGUCCUAUUCGGACUAGGGAGGGGAGGGGCGCGCGGCCACCUCUUGUCUCCUUUCCUCUUCUCCCUUAGGGCCCAUGUAGGCCUAAUAACCCCCGGGGGGGUUCAGGUAACCCCCCGGUACUCCGGUAAAAUCCCGAUUUCACCCGGAACGAUUCUGAUAUCCAAAUAUAGGCUUCCAAUAUAUCGAUCUUUAUGUAUCGACCAUUUUGAGACUCCUCGUCAUGUCCAUGAUCACAUCCGGGACUCCGAACAACCUUCAGUACAUCAAAAUACAUAAACUCAUAAUGAAACUGUCAUCGUAACAUUAAGCGUGCGGACCCUACGGUUCGAGAACAAUGUAGACAUGACCGAGACACGUCUCCGAUCAAUAACCAAUAGCGGAACCUGGAUGCUCAUAUUGGUUCCUACAUAUUCUACGAAGAUCUUUAUCGGUCAGACCGCAUAACAACAUACGGUGUUCCCUUUGUCAUCGGUAUGUUACUUGCCCGAGAUUCGAUCGUCGGUAUCUUAAUACCUAGUUCAAUCUCGUUACCGGCAAGUCUCUUUACUCGUUUCGUAAUACAUCAUCUCGCAACUAACUCAUUAGUUGCAAUGCUUGCAAGGCUUAUGUGAUGUGCAUUGCCGAGAGGGCCUAGAGAUACCUCUCCGACAAUCGGAGUGACAAAUCCUAAUCUCGAAAUACGCCAACCCAACAUGUAACUUUGGAGACACCUGUAGAGCUCCUUUAUAAUCACCCAGUUAUGUUAUGAUGUUUGGUAGCACACAAAGUGUUCCUCCGGCAAACGGGAGUUGCAUAAUCUCAUAGUCAUAGGAACAUGUAUAAGUCAUGAAGAAAGCAAUAGCAACAUACUAAACGAUCGGGUGCUAAGCUAAUGGAAUGGGUCAUGUCAAUCACAUCAUUCUCCUAAUGAUGUGAUCCCGUUAAUCAAAUGACAACACAUGUCUAUGGUUAGGAAACAUAACCAUCUUCGAUUAACGAGCUAGUCAAGUAGAGGCAUACUAGUGACACUUUGUUUGUCUAUGUAUUCACACAUGUAUUAUGUUUCUGGUUAAUACAAUUCUAGCAUGAAUAAUAAACAUUUAUCAUGAAAUAAGGAAAUAAAUAAUAACUUUAUUAUUGCCUCUAGGGCAUAUUUCCUUCAGUCUCCCACUUGCACUAGAGUCAAUAAUCUAGUUCACAUUGCUAUGUGAUUUAACACCAAUAGUUCACAUCAUCAUGUGAUUAACACUCAAAAGGGUUUACUAGAGUCAAUAAUUUAGUUCACAUCACUAUGUGAUUAACACCCAAAGAGUACUAAGGUGUGAUCAUGUGUUUGCUUGUGAGAGAAGUUUAGUCAACGGGUCUGCCACAUUCAGAUCCGUAUGUAUUUUGCAAAUUUCUAUGUCAACAAUGCUCUGCACGGAGCUACUCUGGCUAAUUGCUCCCACUUUCAAUAUGUAUCCAGAUUAAGACUUAGAGUCAUCUGGAUCAGUGUCAAAACUUGCAUCGACGUAACCCUUUACGACGAACCUUUUUUUUAUGUCCAUAAUCGAGAAACAUAUCCUUAUCCCACUAAGGAUAAUUUUGACCAAUGUCCAGUGAUCUACUCCUAGAUCACUAUUGUACUCCCUUGUCAAACUUAGGGCAGGGUAUACAAUAGGUCUGGUACACAGCAUGGCAUACUUUAUAGAACCUAUGGCUGAGGCAUAGGGAAUGACUUUCAUUCUCUCUCUAUCUUCUGUCGUGGUCGGAUUUUGAGUCUUACUCAGCUUCACACCUUGCAACACAGGCAAGAACUCCUUCUUUGACUGUUCCAUUUUGAACUACUUCAAAAUCUUGUCAAGGUAUGUACUCAUUGAAAAAACUUAUCAAGCGUCUUGAUCUAUCUCUAUAGAUCUUGAUGCUCAAUAUGUAAGCAGCUUCACCGAGGUCUUUCUUUGAAAAAACUCUUUUCAAACAUUCCUUUAUGCUUUGCAGAAUAAUUCUACAUCAUCUCCGAUCAACAAUAUGUCAUACAUAUACUUAUCAGAAAUGAUGUAGUGCUCCCACUCACUUUCUUAUAAAUACAGGCUUCACCGCAAGUCUGUAUAAAACUGUAUGCUUUGAUCAACUUAUCAAAGCGUAUAUUCCAACUCCGAGAUGCUUGCACCAGUCCAUAGAUGGAUCGCUGGAGCUUGUAUAUUUAGUUAACACCUUUAGGAUCGACAAAACCUUCUAGUUGCAUCGUAUACAACUCUUCUUUAAUAAAUCCAUUAAGGAAUGAAGUUUUGUUUAUCCAUUUGCCAGAUUUCAUAAAAUGCGGCAAUUGCUAACAUGAUUCGGACAGACUUAAGCAUAGAUACGAGUGAGAAACUCUCAUCAUAGUCAACACCUUGAACUUGUCGAAAACCUUUUUCGACAAUUCUAGCUUUGUAGAUAGUAACACUACUACCAGCGUUCGUCUUCCUCUGAAGAUCCAUUUAUUUUCUAUGGCUUGCCGAUCAACGGGCAAAUCCAUCAAAGUCCAUACUUUGUUCUCAUACAUGGAUCAUAUCUCAGAUUUCAUGGUCUCAAACCAUUUCGCGGAAUCUGGGGUCAUCAUCGCUUCCUCAUAGUUCGUAGGUUCGUCAUGGUCUAGUAACAUGACUUCCAGAAUAGGAUUACCGUACCACUCUUGUGCGGAUCUCACUCUGGUUUACCUACGAGAUUCGGUAGUAACUUGAUCUGAAGUUACAUGAUUAUCAUCAUUACCUUCCUCACUAAUUGGUGUAGUAGUCACAAGAACAGAUUUCUGUGAUGAACUACUUUCCAAUAAGGGAGAAGGUACAAUUACCUUAUCAAGUUUUCUACUUUCCUCCCACUCACUUCUUUCGUGAGAAACUCCUUCUCUAGAAAGGAUCCAUUCUCAGCAAUGAAUAACUUGCCUUCGGAUCUGUGAUAGAAGGUGUACCCAACAUUUUCUUUUGGGUAACCUACGAAGAUUUACUUCUCCGAUUUGGGUUCGAGCUUAUCAUGUUGAAACUUUUUCACAUAAGCAUCGCAGUCCCAAACUUUAAGAAACGACAGCUUAGGUUUCUUGCCAAACCAUAGUUCAUACGGCGUCGUCUCAACGGAUUUAGAUGGUGCCCUAUUUAACGUGAAUGUAGCUAUCUCUAAUGCAUAACCCCAAAACGAUAGCGGUAAAUCAAUAAGAGACGUCAUAGAUCGCACCAUAUCUAAUAAAGUACGGUUACGACGUUCAGACACACCAUUACACUGUGGUGUUCCAGGUGGCGUGAGUAGUGAAACUAGUUCACAUUGUUUUAACUGAAGGCCAAACUCAUAACUCAAAUAUUUUCCUUCUGCGAUCAUAUCAUAGAAACUUUUAUUUUUGUUACGAUGAUUCUCCACUUCACUCUGAAAUUCUUCGAACUUUUCAAAUGUUUCAGACUUGUGUUUCAUCAAGUAGAUAUACUCAUAUCUGCUCAAAUCAUCUGUGAAGGUCAGAAAAUAAUGAUACCUACCACGAGCCUCAAUAUUCAUCGGACCACAUACAUCAGUAUGUAUGAUUUCCAACAAAUCUGUUGCUCGCUCCAUUGUUCCGAAGAACGGAGUCUUAGUCAUCUUGCCCAUGAGGCAUGGUUCGCAAGUAUCAACUGAUUCAUAAUCAAGUGAUUCCAAAAACCCAUCAGCAUGUAUUUUCUUCAUGCGCUUUACACCAAUAUGACCUAAACGGCAGUGCCACAAAUAAGUUGCACUAUCAUUAUUAACUUUGUAUCUUUUGGUUUCAAUAUUAUGAAUAUGUGUAUCACUACAAUCGAGAUCCAACAAACUAUUUUCAUUGGGUGUGUAACCAUAUAAGGUUUUAUUCAUGUAAACAGAACAACAAUUUAUUCUCUUACUUAAAUGAAUAACCAUAUUACCAUAAACAUGAUCAAAUCAUAUUCAUGCUGAACGCAAACACUAAAUAACACUUAUUCAGGUUCAACACUAAUCCCGAAAGUAUAGGGAGUGUGCGAUGAUGAUCAUAUCAAUCUUGGAACCACUUCCAACACACAUCUUCACUUCACCCUUAACUAGUCUCUGUUUAUUCUGCAACUCCCGUUUCGAGUUACUAAUCUUAGCAACUGAACUAGUAUCAAAUACUGAGGGGUUGCUAUAAACACUAGUAAAGCACACAUCAAUAACAUGUAUAUCAAAUAUACCUUUGCUCACUUUGCCAUCCUUCUUAUCCGCCAAUCACUUGGGGUAGUUCCGCUUCCAGUGACCAGUCCCUUUGCAGUAGAAGCACUUAGUCUCAGGCUUAGGACCAGACUUGGGCUUCUUCACUUGAGCAGCAACUUGCUUGACGUUCUUCUUGAAGUUCCCCUUCUUCCCUUUGCCCUUUUUCUUGAAACUAGUGGUUUCGUCAACCAUCAACACUUGAUGUUUUUCUUGAUUUCUACCUUCGUCGAUUUCAGCAUCACGAAAAGCUUGGGAAUCAUUUCUGUUAUCCCUUGCAUAUUAUAGUUCAUCACGAAGUUCUACUAACUUGGUGAUGGUGACUAGAGAAUUCUGUCAAUCACUAUCUUAUCUGGAAGAUUAACUCCUACUUGAUUCAAGCGAUUGUAGUACCCAGACAAUCUGAGCACAUGCUCACUAGUUGAGCGAUUCUUCUCCAUAUUUUAGCUAUAGAACUUGUUGGAGACUUCAUAUCUCUCAACUCGGGUAUUUGCUUGAAAUAUUAACUUCAACUCCUGGAACAUCUCAUAUGGUCCAUGACGUUUAAAACGUCUUUGAAGUCCCGAUUCUAAGCCGUUAAGCAUGGUGCACUAAACUGUCAAGUAGUCAUCAUAUUUAGCUAGCCAAACAUUCAUAACAUCUGCAUCUGCUCCUGCAAUAGGUCUGUCACCUAGCGGUGCAUCAAGGACAUAAUUCUUCUGUGCAGCAAUGAGGAUAAACCUCAGAUCACGGAUCCAAUCCGCAUCAUUGCUACUAACAUCUUUCAACACAAUUUUCUCUAGGAACAUAUCAAAAAUAAAGGGAAGCAACAACGCGAGCUAUUGAUCUACAACAUAGAUAUGCUAAUACUACCAGGACUAAGUUCAUGAUAAAUUUAAGUUCAAUUAAUCAUAUUACUUAAGAACUCCCACUUAGAUAUACAUCCCUCUAAUCAUCUAAGUGAUCACGUGAUCCAAAUCAACUAAACCAUAACCGAUCAUCACGUGAAAUGGAGUAGUUUUCAAUGGUGAACAUCGCUAUGUUGAUCAUAUCUACUAUAUGAUUCAUGCUCGACCUUUUGGUCUUAGUGUGCCGAGGCCAUAUCUGCAUAUGCUAGGCUCGUCAAGUUUAACCUGAAUAUUCUGCAUGUGCAAAACUGGCUUGCAUCCGUUGUAGAUGGACGUAGAGCUUAUCACACCCGAUCAUCACGUGGUGUCUGGGCACGACAAACUUUGGCAACGGUGCAUACUCAGGGAGAACACUUUUUAUCUUGAAAUUUAGUGAGAGAUCAUCUUAUAAUGCUACCGGCAAUCAAAGCAAGAUAAGAUGCAUAAAAGAUAAACAUCACAUGCAAUCAAUAUAAGUGAUAUGAUAUGGCCAUCAUCAUCUUGUGCUUGUGAUCUCCAUCUCCGAAGCACCGUCAUGAUCACCAUCGUCACCGACGCGACACCUUGAUCUCCAUCGUAGCAUCGUUGUCGUCUCGCCAAUCUUAUGCUUCUACGACUAUCGCUACCGCUUAGUGAUAAAGUAAAGCGUUGCAGGGCGAUUGCAUUGCAUACAAUAAAGCGACAACCAUAUGGCUCCUGCCAGUUGCCGAUAACUUGGUUACAAAACAUGAUCAUCUCAUACAACAAAAUUUAGCAUCAUGCCUUGACCAUAUCACAUCACAACAUGCCCUGCAAAAACAAGUUAGACGUCCUCUACUUUGUUUGUUGCAAGUUUUACGUGGCUGCUACGGGCUUAAGCAAGAACCAAUCUUACCUACGCAUCAAAACCACAACGAUAGUUUGUCAAGUUGGUGCUGUUUUAACCUUCGCAAGGACCGAGCGUAGCCACACUCGGUUCAACUAAAGUUGGAGAAACUGACACCCGCCAGCCACCUGUGUGCAAAGCACGGUGGUAGAACCAGUCUCGCGUAAGCGUACGCGUAAUGUCGGUCCAGGCCGCUUCAUCCAACAAUACCGCCGAACCAAAAUAUGACAUGCUGGUAAGCAGUAUGACUUAUAUCGCCCACAACUCACUUGUGUUCUACUCGUGCAUAUAACAUCAAACCAUAAAACUUGGCUCUGAUACCACUUUUGGGGAAUGUAGUAAUUUUAAAAAAUUUCCUACGCACACGCAAGAUCAUGGUGAUGCAUAGCAACGAGAGGGGAGAGUGUUGUCUACGUACCCUUGUAGACCGAAGCGAAAGCGUUGACGCAACGUAGAGGAAGUAGUCGUACGUCUUCCCGAUCCAAUCGAUCCAAGCACCGUUACUCCAGCACCUCCGAGUUCUUGGCACACGUUCAGCUCGAUGACACUCCACGGGCUCCGAUCCAUCAAAGCUUCGGGGAGGAGUUCCGUCAGCACGACGGCGUGGUGACGAUCUUGAUAUUCAACCGUUGCAGGGCUUCGCCUAAGCACCGCUACAAUAUGACCGAGGUGGAAUAUGGUGGAGGGGGGCACCGCACACGGCUAAGGAACGAUCACAAAGAUCAACUUGUGUGUUCUAGGGUGCCCCCCUGCCCCUGUAUAUAAAGGAGCCAAGGGAAGGGGGCAGCCGGCCAAGGAGGGCGCGUCAAGGGGGAGUCCUACUCCCACCGGGAGUAGGACUCCCUUCUUUCCUAGUUGGAGAAGGAGAAGUGGGAAAGAGGAGGAAGAGGGAAAGGAAAGGGGGGGGGGCGCCGCCCCCCUCUCCUUGUCCUAUUCGGACUAGGGAGGGGAGGGGCGCGCGGCCACCUCUUGUCUCCUUUCCUCUUCUCCCUUAGGGCCCAUGUAGGCCCAAUAACCCCCGGGGGGGUUCCAGUAACCCCCCGGUAGUCCGGUAAAAUCCCGAUUUCACCCGGAAUGAUUCCGAUAUCCAAAUAUAGGCUUCCAAUAUAUCGAUCUUUAUGUCUCGACCAUUUCGAGACUCCUCGUCAUGUCCAUGAUCACAUCCGGGACUCCGAACAACCUUCGGUACAUCAAAAUACAUAAACUCAUAAUGAAACUGUCAUCGUAACAUUAAGCGUGCGGACCCUACGGUUCGAGAACAAUGUAGACAUGACCGAGACACGUCUCCGGUCAAUAACCAAUAGCGGAACCUGGAUGCUCAUAUUGGUUCCUACAUAUUCUACGAAGAUCUUUAUCGGUCAGACCGCAUAACAACAUACGUUGUUCUCUUUGUCAUCGGUAUGUUACUUGCCCGAGAUUCGAUCGUCGGUAUCUUAAUACCUAGUUCAAUCUCGUUACCGGCAAGUCUCUUUACUCGUUUCGUAAUACAUCAUCUCGCAACUAACUCAUUAGUUGCAAUGCUUGCAAGGCUUAUGUGAUGUGCAUUACCGAGAGGGCCCAGAGAUACCUCUCCGACAAUCGGAGUGACAAAUCCUAAUCUCGAAAUACGCCAACCCAACAUGUACCUUUGGAGACACCUGUAGAGCUCCUUUAUAAUCACCCAGUUACGUUAUGACGUUUGGUAGCACACAAAGUGUUCCUCCGGCAAACGGGAGUUGCAUAAUCUCAUAGUCAUAGGAACAUGUAUAAGUCAUGAAGAAAGCAAUAGCAACAUACUAAACGAUCGGGUGCUAAGCUAAUGGAAUGGGUCAUGUCAAUCACAUCAUUCUCCUAAUGAUGUGAUCCCGUUAAUCAAAUGACAACAGAUGUCUAUGGUUAGGAAACAUAACCAUCUUCGAUUAACGAGCUAGUCAAGUAGAGGCAUACUAGUGACACUUUGUUUGUCUAUGUGUUCACACAUGUAUUAUGUUUCCGGUUAAUACAAUUCUAGCAUGAAUAAUAAACAUUUAUCAUGAAAUAAGGAAAUAAAUAAUAACUUUAUUAUUGCCUCUAGGGCAUAUUUCCUUCACUUACUAUGUACUUCGUUCCUGAAUCGCUUGCUACUCUCCCUAUCAGUCCUAAUCUGGAUCUAAGCUUUCAUAACCCACUGGUUCGUCAAAUGUUUUUGCUUCACAAUUCUCUUCGUGAAGCCUAUCCCCCUAACUGCACUGUAGGGUACGACACCAGCAUCUUCAGAAUGGAUUAUUGAUAGUGGGUGUACCAACCACAUGACUGGAAAAGAAGCCUUCUUAUGGACUCAACCUUACGUCCAUCCGACAAGAGUCACAUCACAUUUGCUGACACUGGUAAAAGUAAGGUAUUGGGUCUAGGUAGAGUUGCAAUCUCAAAGGAUCAACACAUGCAUAAAGUCAUGCUUGUUGAAUCCCUUGGCUUCAACUUAAUGUCUGUCUCAAUGCUUUGCAAUUUGAACAUGAUCGUAAUAUUUGGAAAAUAUCGCUGCCUUGUACUAAUGGAAUCUGACAAGUCUCUAGUGUUUGAAGGGUAUCGGAAAGAUGAUUUGUACGUGGUAGAUUUUUCGGCAGGACCACAGCUUGCCGUAUGUCUUCUAGCAAAGGCUUCAGAAUGCUGGCUCUGGCAUCGGAGGCUAGGGCAUGCUGGCAUGAGGAACCUCCACACCCUUGCAAAGAAGAAGCAUGUCAUAGGCAUCGAGGGCGUCAAGUUCAAGAAAGAUCACUUAUGCGGUGCCUGUGAAGCAGGAAAGAUGACGAGGGCCAAACAUCCCUCGAAGACAAUCAUGACAACCACUCGACCCUUCGAACUGCUCCACAUGGAUCUUUUCGGUCCCACUCAUUACUCAACUCUUACUACUACUGCUUGCCUCUAUGGCUUUGUUAUUGUUGAUGAUUAUUCUAGAUAUACUUGGGUGCACAUAAUCCUCUACAAGACUGAAGUGCAGGAUGUCUUCAGACGCUUCGCCAAUCGAGCAAUGAACAACUAUGGCGCCAAGAUAAAGCACAUCAGAAGUGACAAUGGCACUGAAUUCAAGAACACUGGCCUUGAUACAUAUCUUGAUACCUUGGGCAUCACACAUGAAUUCUCAGCCCCGUACACACCACAGCAGAAUGGCAUCGUCGAACGCAAGAACAGAACACUCAUUGAGAUGGCCCGAACGAUGCUUGAUGAAUACAAGACUCCAAGAAAAUUCUGGCCUGAAGCCAUUGAUACUGCAUGCCAUACAAUCAAUCAUGUUUAUCUUCACAAGCUUCUGAACAAGACAUCUUAUGAGCUCCUUACUGGCAAGAAGCCAAAUGUCAGUUACUUCAGAGUAUUUGGCGCCAGGUGCUGGAUCAAGGAUCCACAUCACAUUUCAAAAUUUGCACCAAAAGCACAUGAGGGUUUUAUGCUUGGAUAUGGAAAGGAUUCGCACUCCUACAGAGUCUUCAAUCUCUUUCAUUAUAAAGUGGUUGAAACAGUGGAUGUGCGGUUUGAUGAGACUAACGGUUCACAAAGAGAGCACCUCCCAAAUAUGCUAGAUGAAGUUCCAUCCAACGAAUCAAUCAAGCUUAUGGGAACCGGAGAAAUCAUACCCUCUGAAGCUCAACCUGAAGAGGAACUUAUCAUCUCCGCACAUGAUCAACCUGAAGACAAUGCUCAGCCUGAAGACAAUCCCACUAACAAUGACAAUGAUCAGCAAGAGCAAAACCUUCGCCCUGUACAUCCUCGUGUUGCCAAUGAAGUGCAGAUUGAGAGAAUAAUUGACAGCAUCAAUGCACCCGGUCCGCUCACUCGAUCAAGGGCAACUCAGCUGGCAAAUUUCUGUGGGCACUUCGCAUUCAUCUCAAUAACAGAACCCAAGAAAGUUGAAGAAGCCUUCAUGGAACCUGAAUGGAUUCAAGCUAUGCAAGAAGAGCUUCAACAGUUUGAGCUGAAUAAUGUAUGGGAACUGGUUAAGCGUCCUGAUCCUCGGAAGCACAACAUAAUAGGCACCAAAUGGAUAUACCGCAACAAGCAAGAUGAGCAUGGUCAAGUUGUCAGAAACAAAGCUCGUCUCGUUGCUCAAGGAUAUACUCAAUUGGAAGGCAUUAACUUCGAUGAAACAUUUGCUCCUGUGGCUCGACUUGAAGCCAUACGCAUACUGCUGGCCUAUGCAAAUCAUCAUAACAUACUUCUAUAUCAAAUGGAUGUGAAGAGUGCCUUUCUCAAUGGCAAGAUUGAAGAAGAAGUGUAUGUUGCACAACCGCCUGGCUUUGAAGAUCCGAAACAUCCUGACAUGGUAUACAAGCUCAACAAGGCACUGUAUGGCCUCAAACAAGCCCCUCGGGCCUGGUAUGACACACUCAAGUACUUCCUGAAGAGCAAAGGCUUCAUACCUGGUUCCCUAGACCCCACUCUCUUCACGAAGACAUAUGAUGGUGAACUGUUUGUGUGCCAAAUAUAUGUGGAUGAUAUUAUCUUCGGAUGCACCAAUAAGAAGUACAGUGAAGAGUUUGGAUAUAUGAUGCAAGAGCAAUAUCAGAUGUCUAUGAUGGGAGAGCUGAAGUUCUUCCUCGUUCUCCAAAUACGACAGCAACGCAACGGCAUCUUCAUAUCUCAAGAGAAGUAUCUCAAAGAUUGCCUGAAGAAGUUCGGUAUGCAAGACUGCAAAGGCUUCACGACGCCAAUGCCAGCCAAGCAUCAUCUGGGUCCUAACGACAAUGGUAAAGAGUUGGGUCAAAAGGUAUACCGCUCCAUGAUUGGUUCUUUGCUUUAUCUAUGUGCAUCUAGGCCAGAUAUUAUGCUUAGUGUUUGCAUGUGUGCUCGAUUUCAAGCGGCACCAAAGGAGCCGCAUCACUUAGCUGUGAAGCAAAUUCUUCGGUAUUUGGCUCACACCCCAACUCUAGGAUUAUGGUAUCCAAAGGGCUCAGAGUUUGAUCUGGUUGGAUUCUCGGAUGCUGAUUAUGCUGGUGACAAAGUGGAUCGCAAAUCUACAUCAGGCACAUGUCACUUUCUGGGACGAUCACUUGUAUGUUGGUCUUCAAAGAAGCAGAACUGUGUAUCUCUCUCCACUGCUGAAUCUGAAUACAUUGCUGUUGGAUCUUGCUGCGCUCAGCUUCUGUGGAUGAAGCAAACACUCAAGGACUAUGGCAUUCAUCUGAAGCAAGUGCCACUCUACUGCGACAACGAAAGCGCCAUCAAGAUUGCCAACAACCCAGUUCAGCACUCAAAGACAAAGCACAUCGAAAUUCGUCAUCACUUUCUCAGAGAUCAUGUUGUGAAGGAAGAUAUUGAUAUCAUACAUGUCAACACUGAAGAGCAAUUGGCAGAUAUCUUCACCAAGCCCUUGGAUGAGAAGAGAUUUUGCAAGUUACGGUGUGAGCUAAAUAUCCUGGAAUCCUCAAAUGUCCUGUGAUCAGGCACACAUCCUAACACUUAUGCAUAUUGAUGACUUAGAUGUGCAACACACGAAGUAAAGUAUAUCUUCAAUCAAUAAAGACAUACAUUCUAAGUGUGAAUACAUUAAUAUGGAAUUUGACUUCGAAGCGCCACGAUAAUUGUGCGUCGUGUCUGGGUCUAAUACUUCCUAUACGGUGGGUAACGCCACCACCAGAUGUUCUGUUUGAAGUGUUUCACUCAUGGCGUUACAUUUGCUAUGUCUUCACAUUUGGUUUGGCUUCAAUCUCAACAUAUCUUCAUGAUUAUCUUCACUAUGUUGAUUAUAUAGAUAUAUAUAUACUAGUGUUCUGUCCUCUACAGCAUUCACUUAUAGCUAUGUCUUCUUGUUGAAUCUUUUGAACUAAGUGAAUGUGAUCGGACCCUAACUUCUCUAUGCUUUCUAUCUCAAACUCUAUCUCUCCAAAUCAUAUGCAUUCUAUUGAAAUUGUCGAAUGUCUUCUUUGCGUCCUUGUCAGCAGAAGAUACAGAGACAACCAUUAAGUCCGUUUUCAAUGCUCAUUCCUCCACCUGAAACCCGGAGAAGUGGGAACGACCACCCGACAAUCCAGGCGUGCGUGGGACGUGGAACAAACCCCAAUAUGCUGUAUGAUGGCCACGUGUUCCUCAGAUGCGAAUCGCCAGGGGCACUUGUGUAAUAAUGCAGUGCCACUCCUGUACCUAUAAAUACACACCUCACAACAGUCAUUAUCUCUUCUUCCACUCUCGCACGAACCCUAGCGCCACCGCUAGCCCUCAACGACGCCGGCGAUGAAGUGCUUCGCUGCCGCAACCUCUCCGACACCGUCUUCACGUCGACCGCGGACAUCGUCUUCUCUGUCGUCGCCAUAGGUGUCCUCCGUCGCCAAGUUAGGGCACGGACGAUCGAACUGCUCGGCCUCCUCUUCCACUCCGUCUAGCAGUUCUUCGUGUGGUAAAUAAAACCUCCUUUUUACGGCCCCUUUGAUCCUAUAGCUUUAUCACUUCCUAUCACAAGCAGUUUCUAUUCACACAAGUUGGAUCUCUUUCAUACUGCAUCUCAUAACAUGCCUAGUAUAUUCACUUAUGCUUCACAAAGUAGUUAGAUUCCUCACUUGUACUGAUCCGUGGAUUCGUACAAAUCUGGAACCAACUCCUUAUCUAUGAGUGAAUGUCUUCGCACGAUGAGGUCAAUGUCUUCUAAACUAAUUUAUCUUCAAAAUCUUCUGAGAAUGCAUAUGACCUCUUCCCCUUCCCUUGCACCUUAAUGCUGUCACAGGUACAUGUCCGUGGGAGAAUCCCUUGGUUCUCAUAGUCUGCAUUCAUUUGCAGAAUUCUUACAGCAUCACAUAAAUUCUCCCGAAGCCAGUUCCUGUUUGUCUAGCAAGCGAAAACCUUUGAAGCCUCUGAAUGUAUUGAAACCUUUCAGAUUAAAGUUCAUGGCUUCAGAAAAAUCAGCAAGGAAGGGUGGCAGAAAGCAUCGACGAGAAACAUCAAGAGAUCUAUCCGAUGACCUCUCAGAGCUGUACAAGACAGAUCCCGAAGAAGAUUACAAUCAGCGCAAGACGCGGAUCCAAUGGAUUCGACGCUAUUGGGCAGAACAGUGGUUCAAGUACAGAUUUGUGACCAAGGAAUAUGCUGAAAAGAAUGCCAUCAAGCGACCAUGGGGAGACAUCCUCUACAAAAAUCUUCAACCCAGGACCAGAAAUGAAGCCAUUGAACAAGGCUUCUAUCCCUGCAUGGUCCGUGGACCACAGCCUGCGGAUGCUGACCCAUCAUCCCUGCUAUGGUGUCAUGACGACAAUCUGUUUAAGCGCAACUUCCAGUUUGCCCAGAACUCAGCGAAGCAGAACAAGAAGACUUUGGGUUUAGAUUUCAACCCUGGUCCCUCUGCUCCCCGUGCCGAUGGAACUCGCGAAGCUGAACCCAAUCUUCUUGGGCCCUUCUACAACCUUGAAGGUCUCAUCACUCACAUCGUGGUUCAAGGGACAGCCGUGAAUGAGCCUGCAGAUGACGCUGAAUCAGAUGAAGCGCCUGCAGCGCCGAAGCCAAAGAAGCUGAAGCAGCCAAAAGCUUCAAAGCCGGCCUCUGCACCAAAAAUCUCACGGGCGAAGCCACUGGCAACUGCACCUCCUGAAGACAGUGUGCAGUCUGAAGAUUUGUCACGCAUCUCCAAGCCCCAGAAGGUCAAGAUGCCUCUGCCACACACCGGCCAAGAGCUAACAGCUGCUGCCAUUCUGCGCAAUGAUGCCAUUGAUCUAUCAAGUGAUGAAGAUCUUGCAGAUGACGCUCUUGAGCAACUCAUCAAGAGCAAAGAAGAAGCAGAAAUCUUCAAUGAUCUGCCUCUCUUUGAUGUAACAAUCAUCCACAACUUCAUUGAUGAGUGGUUUGACAUGCCAAACAUCAGCUUCGAAGAUCUGCAACUACCCAUUGGCCUCAGUGUCGCCUUCCAUGGCACCAUUGCUUCAGAGCUAGCCCUCGCUCAGCGCAUCGUCGAACUGAAGCAAAAGAUCGACUAUGAAAAGGCUCAGUUCAAGAAGCAUAUGGCCAAGCUCAGCGUGCAAGAGGUGAAAAACUUCAAGAUUAUGCUGCACGAGCUCAAAGAAGCCUUUCUCAAAAACGCGCAGAAGCUCAGGGUUCUCGGGAGCGUAUGAAGAGCCUGGCUGACAAGUGUGUGCAAGGCUACAACGAAGCUGAGAAGCGCAAGGCCCUUGGGCGUCCGGGCAUUGAUCCCAGGAUGGCUGCUAAGCAGAAGAAGAAGCCCAUUGUGGCCGAACCUCUCGCACUAAGGCAGGAAGCAGAUCCCAUUGUCUUCCCAACUAGAAUCACUAGCUCGAAGCCAAAAGCCCGGUCAACCGCUUCAGAGCUGAAGAAGAUAAGGACUGCUGAGGCUGAAGCCAGGAAGAGGAAACAUCCUGAAGCCUCUCCUACUGCCCCCUCCAAGAAGAAGAGGAAGACCAAGAAAGAACGGGCUGCUCCCACAGAGCCUUUGAUUGUUGAACCCAUUUCCAUGGUUCGUCCUGACGCUGAACGCCAACUGACAAUUCAUGAGUCUGCUUUCACAGAGGCUCAUGAAGCUGAAGACUUUCCAACAGCUGAUCCCAUCGCUGCUGACGACAUUGGUCACCAUGACCAUGUAGAAGAUGGUGCAGUCCUUCCUCAGCUCGAGCACAGCGAACUCAUCAGCAUUGGUCGUCCUCUGACGCCAAUUGCUCAGGAUGCUUCAUGGGCUGAUCGCCCACAAGAGGAAGAAGACUUUGCGGCCCAGCCAACUCCAACUACACAGGCGUCGCCUGUGUUGCGCAGGCUUCGCAAAGGACCCAAGCCUCCAGUCUCUGUGUCUGAAGCUGAAGCCGCUGAAGACAUUCCGGCUGCAUCAGCCGAUGAAGAAGAAGUCCCACAAGCUGCUACUCCCCUGUCCCACCAAGAAGCGGUUCUCGAGGAGAACGUGACUGUGACCGACCCUCCAGCUCGUCAAGUGGAGGUUGAAAAUCUUGAGGCUGCCACCACCAACACCACUGAAGCCACUGACGCUGUCAUGGCUGAAGCUAAUGUGGAGCCCUCACCAACAAAAGCACCAGAAGUCAGCGAAGCCACUGAUCCCACUACUUCUGUUCCCACGCCUGCUGCCGGUCCUCAGUUCGACUAUCAUGUUGAGCACAUGCCUCAGGUACAGAAGCCAAUCCCAAGAUUGCCCAGGUUCCCAGGUCCUGCAUCAGCACCUGGAUCCUUCAAUAUCAAUGGCUUCAGAGCAGACAACACAUUCUUCAAUAGCUCCAGGAACCCCUACUCAAGGGAAAGAAUAUCAUCUGAUCGGUUCUGGAGCUAUCCGCAGCGAAGCUAUUACUCCUACAUUCUAUACAAUCAAGGUCGCAUCUUCCCACACAAGCGUCUUGACAUUGAAGCAACAGCUGGUCUGCCCUAUCUGGAAGAAGCUCUGGAUUGCUUCAAGGAGGUUGGAUUGCUGCCGUUCGUCACUGACCAAGAGCAUUGGAAUGAAGAGUUGCUGCUUCAAUUCUAUGCCACACUUCACAUCCGCGGGUAUAACAGAGAUCCGAAGACUUGGGUCCUGGAGUGGAUGACAGGAAACGUUCAUCACGAAGCCAAAGCCUUUGACAUCAUUGAGCUCACUGGUCUACCCACACCCGGUGAUCUCUACGAAUCUGGCUGUCAACUUCACAGUGAAGCUGUGGAGAGCAUCUUUCAGAAGCCUGAACCUAACAUGAGUCAGAUGCUCAGUAUGAUGAAACCAUUACCCCAAGAUGCUGCAUAUCCCAAAGAGUUAUUUGUUGAAGACCCAGAGUAUCUGCCAAGGACUAUUUAUCACAUCAUAAGGCGAACUCUCUGGCCCAUCAAAGGGCAAUUUCCACAUGCCAAGCUGGAAGGUGCAAUGAAGACUUUGAUCUUUUAUAUUCUUCAUGGAAAAUGCUUCAAUGCACAGGAUUUCUUCAUUCGCCAACUUGCUGCAUCAGGCUCUGAUCUGUUUGGCUUGAAGUUCUACGCCCCAUGGGUAAUGCGGUUGAUCAAACUUCACUCCGCUAUCUCAUAUCAGCCAUCUGCUCGCAAUCAUCGGAUUUUUCUGCCUGAUGUGGAUAUGUCUAUUGAAGCCAUCUAUCCCGAGCCUGCCAAGGAACCUCUAAGUCUUCAGAAUGCAGAGCAUCAAAGUUUUUCUCAGAACAUUGAAGGAGUUAAAGCAGUCACUCGUGUGUAUCCUUUGGCUGGCACUACACGUGCACCGCAUCCUGCUCUCACUGAAGCCACUGACAGUACAACUGCCCCACGACCCAAGAAGCGCACUCGUGUUCUCAAUGACCGAGAGCUUCUUGUGGCUCUUCAUCAGAAACAGGAUAGGCAUCAUGACUGGCUGAAGCAUCAAAUGCAAAGCCUCUUGGUGGAUGUUAAUCGCAUUCGCAAUCUUGCCACCAAGAAUGCCUUUGUUGCCCAUGAAACCUCUCGACGCACAUGGAAAGGGCUGACGCUGAUGUGUUCUGAAGAUGAUCUUCAAGAGGAUGGCUUCUCUGAGCGCUUCAAGUUUGACUCCACACCCCCUCGAAGGGCAGUGCUGCGACGAACUCCAUCUCUUGAAGACUCUGAGUUCUCUUCCUCUGCUGCAACUGUAAAUGCCAGAGUGAUCGAGGAUGAAGACGAUGCUACUUCACCGCCGCCCCCUUCAGCACACUUCGACACUGCUCCAAGUUCUUCUGCACCGCCGAACACCACCAACGAACCUGCUGCUUCACCUACUCUUCAUGGGAACGAGUAGAUGCUCUAUGUCUUCAAACCUUUUUGGUCCUUACUGAAAAAAGGGGGAGAAGCAUAUGAGUUUGAUAGUCUUCAAGCGGGUCCAUAUGGGCGGGUGCUUCAUAUUUUGCUUCGUGUUUACAACUGUUGUUUUGAUACAUUUGGUUCUUUGAGUUGUAACACUUAAACUCGAUGGUCGUCUGCUACUUAUUUGCCAUUUUGUGAUGCGAUGAUAAAUUCCGCAUGUGCGACGAUAAAUUCCGCACUUAGAUCAUUUUGCAGACGUCCAUUUUCCAUUAUGCAUGUCAUUAUCUUCACAUACCUUCACAUGUAUAGUGGAUUGUCAUCAUAAAUUGAAGAGGAUCUCCACAAGCACAACUUGCCAUGUGCAUUUGCAUUCCAAAAGUAAACUACUUAUAUGCACAUCUUCAGGGGGAGCCCUUGCAACUUAUGAAGACAAUUCCUUAUCCUUUACAAUUUCACAUAUUAUAUUCCCCGUUGAAAACUUCAACUAGUUUGUCAUCAAUCACCAAAAAGGGGGAGAUUGUAAGUGCAUCUAGUGCCACCCCUAGUUGGUUUUGGAGUAUUGACGACAAACCUAGUUAAGGGACUAAUGUGUUUGUGAGAAUUGCAGGAUAACACAGGUAGAAGUCCCUCAUUGAUUCGGUUUUCCUACCAGAGAUGACCCCUAAAAAUGUAUGAAGACAUUGAUGUCAAAGGUGGUAUAUGAAGAUAUUCACAUUGAAGACUAUGACAAGAGAAGACAUCGCGUGAAGCCUAUGGAGCUCGAAGACUUAGAUCUUUCGGAGUUCUUUUUCUUCUUCUUUGUUGAGUCAUAGGAACCACCGUACUGUUAAGUGGGGUCCAAGAGAACCAGUCAGAAUGACUGAAGUGAUGCUUAACCAAAACCUAUGUCUUCGAGUGAAGACUAUGAGAGCGAAUCUUGUCCAGAGUCGGACAAGUCAGCUUUGCUUGUAGCCCAAGUAAAGUUGCCGUGUGAGUUUGAAAUCUGACCAUUGGAACACGUGUCAGUUCCUUAGUGACCCAGGGUCAUUUCGGACAAAUCAGGUCUGGUUGCCUAGUGGCUAUAAAUAGCCCACCCCCUACAACCAUAAAUGGUUGGCUGCUCAGAGUUAGUAUACAGCUUUUGUCCUUUGAGAGCAACCCACCUCGAAGCCUUUGAGAGAGAAUUCCUUGCGAGGAUAAAGCCCUAACCACCCAGAGCCAAAGAGAAUUAGGCAUCACUUAAGUCUUCUUGUCUGUGUGAUCUGAAGACUUAUUACACUUGAGGACUGUGAGUCCUCCAGCCGGUUAGGCGUCGCGUUCUGAGCAUCCAAGAGACAUUGUGGAUCGCCGGUGAACGAAGUCUGUGAAGGUUUGGGAGUCUACCUUGAAGACUUACCAGAGUGAUUGGGCGAGGUCUGUGUGACAUUAGCUCAAGGGGAAUACGGUGAGGACUGGGUGUCCUGAGCUGCGUGUUCAGGACUGGGUGUCCGGAACUGUGUGUCCUCAGGUUUAAAUACCUAGCCGCCCUAACCAGACGUACAGUUGUCACAGCAACUGGAACUGGUCCAACAAAUCAUUGUCUUCAACGUGUCACUAGUUUCAUCCUUUCCUUCCCUUUACUUACUGUUGGUCUUUGUGAAGUCAUUGUAUGAUUACACUAUCUUUUAUCUUCACUGAGUGACUGCGUGUUUUGUUUGGCUUCAUAAUAUCUUCCUACCUGAUCCUUACUAGAUUGCUGCUAUUAGUCAUUGUGCUUUCACUCCAUUGAAUACUUGACUAUGGUUUGCCUAAUGUAGUCUACCUUCCGCUGCAUGGUAAUAGGUUUAUUUUUAUCGUUUGUCUUCAUAACUUCCACGUUUUGAAGACUUUCAUAAAAAUUGCCUAUUCACCCCCCCCUCUAGUCGAUAUAACGCACUUUCAGUCUUACAACGCAACAGAAACCCUCAAAAAAUCAAGCGAGGCGAGGGGAGCAAGUUUUGGAUUACAAGCCGAAGACGGCUAGCAUAGAGCACGCAGGCUCACAACAAAGGUGCCAAAAGGUGCCUGCCUCACAUCCCUACGGGGGCGGCGCAGGAGCUCUCGCCAGAGCGUAGACCUGACGAAGACGGGCAAGAGUGAGCUGCAGGAGAUCAACGUCUCGGUGUCUUCCCAACGGCGCCCAGUCCUCAUCCUCACUCACCUUCAUCUUCUUAAAAAUUAUCAGAAUCUAGAUCAUCCGCCAAUCCAUUCUCAUCCUUCUCUUCCAUCAUCCUUUGCAUUUUCUCCCCUUCCCCGUCCCCAUUAGCCAAACCACUACCAGCAAUAUUAGCCAAACCACUACCAACAAUUACUGCUGACUGACUGCUCAACCCUGUUUCACGACAAACGGCGAUGCGUGACAUAUAAUUCUACUAUUCAUCGGUUGUGACCCAGGUGGAUGAAUCUCAUUAGUCGACUGACCACCCUGGUCGGGUUCAUACACCCGGCCGCCUUCCAAUAAAUUCUCCUCCUUCGGCACAGGGAUCACUUAGGCAUAUGAGUGAAUCAUCCGUUUUCUGCAACGCCUUAACCAGGCCAACCACUUAUGUCUCCUAUCUAUCAUGUUCAACUCCCACAAAACACUUUUACCAGAUUUGGUCCAUACUGCAUAAAUACUAAUGGAGCACUCGUUGGGAUCAAACCCAAAACUUGUUGUCAACCAGUAUUUCAACUUGUUGCCAUAGUAAACAGUGCAAUUCACAGACUCAUACAACUCCAUAUUUACCAUUAAACACAUUGAACAAAUAGUCACUCCUAACAAUGGUAACCAACAGGGGUGCUCCCCUCUGGACACAGGCGAGGAAAGAAGACCUCACAGCACGUAUUCUGCCAAUGCCUCCCAGCCUCCACGACACCCGGUUUGACCAGCAAAGGCCUCCCUCCACGCACUUGAACCAAUCUAAAUCGGUAACAGCCGGCCAAAUCGAUACCCUGGGAGCUUAGUGAAUUUAGAGAUUCAUCUGCUGUUGAGUAUACAACAAACAAUUACCUCGUGAUAUGGAUGAACAAGACAAUCACAUCCCUGGAUCUGUAGAAAGGGCUUCAUCUAGGCAGCAAAUGAGGUUUCGACAAGCAAUGAUCAAGUUCAGACUCCAUUUGUUUGCAAGAGCAGCGCAGGAUUUAAAAAUGCCAAAAUUGUACCAAAAUACUUUUCCAGCCGUCCAUCUCACACGCUCAGACACAUUGUUCACAUCGAUAAUAACAAGACUGACAACGGAAUUCUGUGUAAACUCGCCAAUCAACAAGGAAAAUGACAAGUAGCCAAGAGCUAUAGGAAACUGAUGGUGACCGCAACAUAGUAGUACAAGUUCCCACAUAAGAGGUUCCGAGCAACUAUCAAAGAAAUACUUUAUUAUUAUUCCAAGGUUUGUCAACUUCGGAAGCUACAAGACCAGCAGAUGUAAUGUGUCAAACAAAACAAGGCCCCGGAGCAGGGAGCGAGUUCUGGGCUUCACGCCCUCAUGCAAUCUAGAAUCAUAGGAACCGACCGACGACCGACAAAUAUAGCUGCUCCAGGGCAUACCCCUUCCUACAUGAUGUCAACACUCUAGGCUGCAAAACUUAAGACAGGGACAAUCAUUUUGCCUCUUAUUCUCUUCGUACGGAGUUAUCGUUAUCCUUCACCUCAAACGGACGCGGCGGCUCCCUGCUUCUUGUGCGCAAACUCGAUGCCCUUCUCAAUGCUGGCCUUCAGCUCAGGCUUCAACGCUUCGAGUGCCUUGGCCUCAUAAUCGGUCACUCCCUCCAGGUCGGAAGAGAUGAUGGACUCGACACCAUUCUUCCCAAUCUUAACUCUGGACGCAAAGAAUGGUAGCUCAGUUAGCUCGGACUGGACAUACGUGCACUCGUAAACAUCUGGAUCACCAGCCAGUGCACGGAGUGAUGACUCGACAAAUCUGGCAGCGGCAUAUGCCAUGGACAGGGUAGCGGAUCCAGCACCGGCUUUCGCCUCCACCACCUCUGUCCCUGCAUUCUGUAUCCUCUUUGUCAGCUCUUCAGUUUCCUCAUCCGUGAAAGUGACAGAUGGCCUAGUUUUGGACAACAGAGGUAGGAUUGUAAUUCCAGCAUGACCACCAACAACUGGGACAUCAACGUCAAUGAGCUUGAGGUCCUUCUUCUGAGCUACAAACGUGUUCGCUCUGACAACAUCCAGGGUGGAAACUCCGAAAAGCUUCUUGGGGUUGUAGACACCCUUCUGUUUCAGAAUCUCAGCAGCAAUCGGCACUGUGGAGUUGACUGGGUUGCUGAUAAUAUGGAUAAAGGCAUCAGGGCAAUUGUCUGCGACAGCCUCAAUAAGCGACUUGACGAUGCCCGCAUUGAUGUUGAACAGGUCAUCACGAGUCAUGCCUGGCUUUCUUGGGACCCCAGCAGGGAUGACAACAACAUCCACACCUUUCAAGCAGUUGGCUAACUCAGCAGGGCCAGUAAAGUCCAUGACCUGAGAAGGUGUGUUGCAGUGGCUGAGAUCAGCAGCGACUCCCUUGACAUUCGCAAUAUCAUACAGGCGCAGUUCUGAGACCAGAGGAGACAUCUUGAUUAACAGGCCCAAUGGCUGCCCGAUGCCCCCAGCAGCACCAAGCACUGCCACUUUGUAAGAUGCCUCAGGUAGUAUCUGAGCCACAGACUUUGCCUUUGGCACAACCCUUGUGGUGACAGAUGCCCGAAGAGGUGCGGUCUUGCCGAGGAAUGAGGAUCCCAAUUCAAAGUUAACUGAUGACGACGAUGCCUUUAAGCCACCAUAGCUUGUGAUGCCAUGGCUCCUUGGCCUUGAAACCAAAGCGGCCUGAGCACUAACUGAAGUCAUGGUAACAGCUGAUGCCAUGUCCAACUGCAGGAACAGAACUAUAUGAGAUUAAUAUACAGUGGUAACAUGCAGAGUCUAAUUACAAAUUCCAGCUAAAAAAAUUUGAACUGGACUAAUAGCCCAAUACAGUGGUAAAUGCAGAUUCCAAUUACACCAUCCAUGGAGUAGAUGUAGGAACACUCGAAAUAAAUUGUAACGAGAAUAAAACAAGGGCACUUGAUUGUAAGUUAUACUAUGUAUUUGCUUGCAAGCAUCAAUGGAACAAGGGAUGGCAAACUAUCUCCUCCCUUCAUUUUGAACACGAAAGGAACUGUACUAAUUAUGAAUUACUGUAAGUGAAAUAGGAGUUGAAAUUACACGUAAACACUUGCGACAUUUCUUCCCCGACCGCGGAAUGUAAACAAGUACGUACUAGGUAGAAUCAGAGAUAAAUUUCCCUAGGUAGAAUAAUGAGAGGAAGCUAUUUCUAUUCAGAAUGCAGCAAUUUACGGCUUUGCUAAACAUGAUGCAGGGCUGUACGACACGCAGACAAUCAGAUCCCUGGAUCUGUGCAAGGGGAGGUCGUCUGUAUGAUAUGGCGCUGCAGGAAAAUCUUGCACAAUGGCUCAUCUUACAGCAGCAAUCAGUAACCUAUGACGCCAUACGAUACGUUGCCGCGACUCGCAGGGGCGGAUCUAAAACUAAAUAGUGUGCCGACACGCUCUGAAAUUGUGAAGGCCCCUCCCUACCCUGGCGGGAUCGAUUGAUUUUAACAACAGAGAGAAACUGACGAACCAACCUAUCUGCUCAUACCUGGAAGGAAGGAGACCCAAUCAGUCCGCAGGGAGUGAGACGGGGUGGAGAGAGCGGCAGGAUGCUCCGGAGGCCGAUGAAGUAGGGGAGCUGCGGCGGCGAAGCGCGGCCCGAGGGGGCGUCGGCGGUUGGUGGGCGGAGGCAGCGGCCCUUGGCUCACCCUUUGCUCUUUUUUCUUGGUUGGGGGCAGGUGGCUCUGGACUCCUGGUGAUAAAUAAAUAGCUGGGCUGGGCAGCGGCGGUGGCGGCGCAAGAGAAACAGAGAGAGAUCGGCUUUGAUUUUUCUUGCGCUGGUUCGCUCGCUUUUUUUUUUUUUGAGGGAACGCUGGUUCGCUCGCUGGACGGUAGCCUCGGAGACAACGGGCUGGCUCUGCCGUUGGCCGACACUCCUUUCUCCGUCCGCCGUUAGGUGCAGCUGGGGUAGGGCCGUAGGGGCAGGGGGAUCUUGCCUACGCGCAGUGUUAAUUUUGAAAUAUAUUAAGUACAUGUGAAUAUUAUUUAUGUAUUAUUAUAUUAUAUUUGGCAUAAAAUUAACUGCAUGCUAAACGUGUUGAGCGUUUGAUAUUGAAGCAGUCUAGGUUGUUGGAUUGACAUGAUUUGAUGAUCGAGAUUAAGUUUAAGUGGAUCUACUCCUUUGGGUCUUUUUAUACUGAUAUAGAUGCUGUUGUGCUUUCCUUCAAAAAAUUUAAGGCCUCAUUUUGAGUUAAGGAUGCUUUGAAUCCCAUGCCACAUUCAAUCCAUGCAUGAAGAUGCGAGAGAGAAAAUCAGAGGCCAUGCACGCACUCUUGUUAUAUAAUUCCCCCGUUUCUAAAUAUAAGUCUUUUUAAAGACUUUUAUAUGAAUCACACAUACGGAGCAAAAUGAGUGAAUCUACACUUUAAACUAUGUCUACAUACGUUUGUAUGUAGGGUUUUUUUUGCGCUGGAACAUCCGUAUGUAGUUCACAUUAAAAUCUCUAAAAAGACUUAUAUUUAGAAAUGGAGGGAGUAUUACAUGUACCAUACCAUGCAAACAUGUGGAGCAUAUUUUACCGGGCGGGUUUAAACCCACAAAACUCUUAGCCCUUAACUCAACAUCUAUCUCGAUUGUUGAGAAUUUCGAGAUGAGCCCUUAAACCGGAAGAGAGGGAGUAGUUGGUAUGACAAUACCUUACCAAGGCAAUCAUCACUAGGUGAAACUAUACCUGGCCAUGGGAAGCCCGGCCCGAAAAAGCCCGACCCGGCCCCGCCCGACGCUGCUCCCGGGCCGGGCUUGGGCCUAGAUUUUAAGCCUGAUGGCCGGGCCGGGCCGGGCCCGGGCCCGUCGUUUUUGUGUUUUUCUGAAGGUUGGGCCGGCCCGGCCCGGAGCCCGAUGGGCUUUUAUAUGUACGGGCCGGGCUCGGGCCCAAAAAACAGGCCCGAUGGCCGGGCCAGGCCGGGCCCGGGCUUGGGUUUUUUGCGUCGGGCUUGGCUAGGCCCGGCCCGAAGCCCGGCCCGGCCCGAGGUAUGGCCAGGUAUAGGUGAAACCAAAGAUAUGCUCUUACAAGUUGUUUUAAAGUCUGAAAACAAUUUAGCAUGUAAAACAUAAAAAAAUGUACUAUUUCAUACAAAUUCAAACAUAAAACUAAAUCACAGCUUGAGAAAAAAAAACUAAUCGUGUUAAUGGUCCAAAUCAAUGGGCAGUUGGAAAUAACUAUCAUACCCUCUCCUUUUGUACUAUGUGCAUUAGAUCUCCUUAUGACAAGCCUUUCGCCGACAAUUACACUAAUAAGUAGCUAAUUGUUCAUGUGUUGCAACGGAGGCAUACAUAUUCUACUGGUUCAACAUUAAUCAUGUCCAACAUAAAUCUUACACACAUCAUAUUCUAGAUUUUAGAUUUGAUGAUUUGUAUGGGUAGGGGGAGGCAAUGAAAGUUUUGAUUUACUUGAAUUUUUGGUAAGAUUUGAUUUGAUUCAGUUAAUGCAUGAAUGAUGUAGGAGAAGGGGCGUGUGGAGGGGGUGGGUGUGAGGGCGAGCGUACAAUGACCAACUCCUCUUUAAUAGUAGAGACAUGUAACUUUCGUGACACAAUAUUAGAGUAUGAAUAUACUGACAACAAUUUUAUGUCACAUAAAGUACACGGUAACACAUUAAUCCUAGAAACACUAAAAAAAGCAGAGUAAUCCUAGGUGUAGUGAGUUUUAGAGUUCCUCUUCAACCAAACUUCGAUCUGCAUAACGAGUUUGAAGUUGUAUUUUACUUUCUUGUCUCUUGUCUUCAUGUCUUUGAGUGACAAAGAAAUAUGAAAAUGGAAGAAUGCCUUCAGGGUGAGCGGAAUCGGGAAAACAAUUCAAUCUAGUGUGUUCCACAAAACUGCAAACGUAGCAUGCACUCUUUAGUUUAGAUUUCAUCUAUCUUCCUCCUCCAAAACGCUUUUCCCUAAGUACAUAGCAGCCCUUUCAGGGAAUCGGGCGAGGGUUCUGAUGCAUUACUUCAAAAGUGAAGUCAUUUGACUUUACCACCAUUGUACUUAUUUAGAGGAAUCCACGUGCUUAUUCACCUAGCGUGAGAUUGUAACAUUUCAAUUUUGAUGACACCCUCAUUUUCUUUUGCAAUGACACUUGACUAAACAUAUAUUUGAAUCCACAUCCUCCUAUACAAACAUGCACUUAUGGUUCCAAUAGAUAAUAUCGAGAUCGGUCAGUUUUUGUAAAUGCGAACCUCGUUGCAGCAACAGUAAUAGAUUUUAUCCAUUAGAUAAUAUUGAGAUUGCAAGGAUUAUUUCCUUGGCAUCUUGCAUCUAGUCAAGUCAUUUGAGAUUUUAUUAAUUUGAUUCAGGUGUAAUUGAUUUUAUCUAAAUAUAACCAACCAUAUGUGGUUGGUCAUUGAGAUGUGGUGUUAGUGUUAUGCGACAAUUUGAGGGUGUUAUCUCUAGUCAACAUGUGAGUUUCAGACAUGUCUUCCUUUUAACAAUGAUAUGUCUGUGUAGUGGAGCAAAUUUCAUUCUUGAGUUGACUUGUGUUUAGAUAAAUGGAGUUGUUGCUUAAGGAGCAACUAUCUCAUUCGUUGUUAUCAUCAUUCUAUAGUGCAUUUUGCAAAUAUAAAGUUACCAUGGUACAUAUUAACUUGACAUGAGACUGUAACCUAUAAAUCCAUCUAUGCACUAAUGCUACUUCUCUUCACCACCAUUAUACCAAGACAUUUAAUAAUACUAAAUAUCUACUACAUCUAAUUAAUUGUCAUGCAAUGAGUAAAAUCACACCUACUUGAGUGGGGUAUCAUGCAUAUUUUCUCUCUACAUAUGCCAAAAAUUUGAAGAUGCCAUGCAAGGGGUGACCCAUGUAGUGAAGCUAGCAAACGGAGGGCAUAUUAUUUUCUUGUCUUCUCUCGAAAAAACAACUUGGGAAUAUGGUGGUACAUUCAGGAUGAGCGGCAUUGGGGAAAGGGUUCAAUCGAGCUCCCUUGUUGAUAUUGCAAUACUGAAGAUAUCUCCUCUUUAGGCAAACAUAUUGUUAAAUCCGAUGAGUUUGAACCAUUCCCUCAUUCUUCUUUGUUGUGUUUAUCUUCCUUUUCCCGAUUUGGCAUUGACAAAGGCCACAUGUGCAAGCCACUCCUCCAGUUGGUUGAUUUAGUGGCCGAUAGCGAAUUGGCCUCCACGGUUAGCUAAAUUUGCUUCGACUUAACGUAAAUUGGUGUACUAAUUUUGGAAUUUAAUUGAAUUAAUUAUCCCAUCAAAAUAAGUUUCCUGGCCAUGCAUCUUUCUUUUCCUCUUGUAUGAGUAUAAAUUUUUUUCAGGUGUGACAUUAAUUCACUUCUAGCGCAGCUAAAAUUUGCUUCAAUCUGUACAUAGUUUUUCUAAUGUAAUCGUUUGUAGCAAAGUCACUUCCAUCGAGUAACGAAUUUUGUCUCCAUGGUAACAAAAAAAUGCUUCGAUUUAGCAAAAAAAAAAGGGUACUACGUAGGCAAAAUUUGCUUCCAAAUACAAUACUAUUUUAAUUUCAUCAACCAAAGAAUUCUUUCCAUAGAAAUAUGAAUUUGUUUCCAUCAUACAAUAUUUUUUAUUUCAAAUGACAUGAGGAUAUGUUGCCGUGAUGAUGAACAUUUGCUUCCGUUACACGAAGAAUGUGCAUCCGGCGGGGUUGGUUGAACCUGGUGAAGAUAGCAAACAUGCCCUUAAUGUAUAAGUUGAGAAGUUAAUUCUUCAUCUGUUGACUUGUCAAUAUGAGGAUGUUUCUCGUAGAAGAAAAACGAGGUAAAUACACCGCAAGUUGUAGAACUUGCACACGAUGGUCAGUUUGGUGCAUAAACUUGUAAAAUACGUGUUUUUGGUCAUCUAACUUGUCCCUCCGUUCAUAUACGGUGCUUUCUACUGUACUCAACCGUAUCAUGUGCACACAUGGCAUGCCAACGUGGCAAGGGCCCACUGUCAGCAGCGGUAACCUGCGUGCACUGUUUUUUUUUUCUUCAGGAAGCACCCUUGCAUUUUAUUUAUGUACGCAAAAAAAUCCUCAAAUGAAAUAAAAAAUGUUCAACCAACGGUGGGAUUCGAACAGAACACUUGCUACAAUCUGCCACGCUUUGAUAACCACUUGACCUACAUAUUGUUCAUGCUUUUGGAGCACAAUUAGCUUUAUAUUAGAAAGACUGUACGGCCUUAAAAAAAGACUGCACAAGUUAAAAUAGAAACCAAAACGAGAAAAAGGAAAGGCACCGGUUCGAACCUAUGACCACAUUUUUUUAGAAGAACCAGUGAACACAUAAGCUCGCCUUGUGUGGGAGCACCAACCAUCCGGCCACAGUGAGUUAAAAAAACAUCAGCUACAAUGACAUUUAAAUAGAUAAACACAAUUUAUCUUAUGUAUUCUUCUUUCUUUUUUCUAUUUAAAAGAAAAUAUAGUUCAUAAUGAGUAGACGUCAAUUUCUUUCGGACAAAUCGACAGAAUUCAUUAGAAAUUCGAAAAUCUAGAUAAAAUUUUAUAUGUAAAAAAAUAAUGUACAUAAUUUUUCAGAGAAAUCAACUAUUUUUUGUUUGAAUUCAAAUAAUUUAAAAAUUAAAAAUAUGGAUAAAAGUUAAUAUAGUGCACAAUGAAUAUACACAUUUUCUGGGGACAAAUCAAUUUUGUUUGUUUGAAUUCGAAUAAUUUGAAAUUUGAAAAUCUAGAGAAAAGGAAAUGUGGGUCAGAAUGAAUGUAAUUGUUUUUCUGGACAAAUCAUCUAAUUUUUGUUUGAAUUAGAAUACGCUAUAUAAAAGAAAUAUAGUUCAUAAUGAAUGUAUGUAAAUUUCCUUCGAACAAAUCAGUGGAAAUUUUGUUUGAAUUCGAAUAAUUUUAAAUCGGAAAAUCUUGAUAAAAGAAAAUAUAGGUCCGAAUGAAUUUAUGUAAGUUUUCCCCAGGAAAAUUAAAUAUUUUUUUGUUUGAAUUCGAAUAUUUUAAAUUAAAAAAUCUAGAUAAAAGAAAAUUUAGUGCAGAAGGAAUGUACGUAAUUUUCUUUCGAACAAAUUAGCGGAAAUAUUGUUUGAAUCUGAAUAAUUUUAAAUUUGAAAAUCUAAAGAAAAGAAAAUAUAUUCAGAAUGUGUACUUUUAUCCAAGACGUGAUAUACCUUAUUAGUCCAAAUGAAAUAGCAAGCACGAUCAGUUGUGGUGGUUAGGUCGUUAGUGCCAUUACAAGAGUUCGCCUUUUCGAACUUGCUCCGUCCCAUUUUUCCAGCCAAAUAUAUUUACAGCGAAUACUGAUGGGUGGGACCCAGCGGGCAACUAUUGUUGGAGUGGUUUUGUACAGAGUAAAAAAAAUGAGGGUGUUUCUACAAAAAAAAACAUCACGUGCACUAGCCACUGACAAUGGUCCCUUGCCACACUGGCAUGCCACGUAGGCAGCAAAUACACCCACGCGCGGGAAAUGUAACCGCAUUUGCACACCCGCGCAAGUUUGAUGAUCAGAAACACAUAUUUUACAAGUUUGUGCACCAAACUGACCAUCGCGCGCAAGUUGUAAGACUUCUAAUGUAUUUACCUCAAGAAAAAAAAAACACUAGGUGUUUUUCCUUGUUUCUCUCAUAUCUUCUUUAACCACAAAAAUAAGCAACCAUGACAAAUAGAUAAUUUGUAAAUGUGUUAUCAAUUUAAACGACCAAAUUACAAGGGCGACUAUAUAUGUAUCAUAUCAUACAUGUAUUUUAGCAUGGAAUCACAUGCAUCUUCAUCUCUACAUGCAUGUAAACAAGAGUAAGUACAUACAACAUACAUGGAGGGAGAUCAGUUGUAUAGUGAGUAACUGGGAGGUAGGACAUGUUAUCCCUUCUCUUCCCGAACUGAGUAUGCUGGGCUGUAGGUCACGUACGUACUCUCGCACGCAUUCCUCCACAUGCAGACGGUUGAUUGGUUAGAGCUGUGAGAGGAACUGAAGCUGCCUGAGGAUGGGGUUGAGGGCCUCCAUGAGCUUCUCGCAGGGGUGGUUGUGGACGCCCUCGUACGUGGUCACCACGAUGCUCGUGUCCUUGGCCAGCCGCUGCACCUGCUUCUUCACGUUGCAUGUGUGGUGCGUGCACCGGUAGUAGCUCCUGGAUCAUCACACAAAUGUCGGCAUGCAUGCAUGUAUUAGUCGGUGAAAGACAGAACGUGAUGUCUUUUAAGGCAGAAAAAACUUAUUAAGCAAGCUGCUGAAAGUAAUAUUACUUGGCACAUAGUAAAAAAAAGAGUAUUUAACCAAAAACUACCACAAUUCGCGGAAACGUGACAGAAAACUACCACUUUACGAUUUUGUCCCGAAAACUACCACUUUUUUGUUAAUCCGUGACAAAAAACUACCAAGUGUGAAAACCGCUCGCUUUGCCUGGGUUAAACGCGAAUCUGACUGCCCAACCCCACACAUAAACGGGCUAAAAAUGCAAUCGGGUCCCACAAACAAACUUCACCAUUUGGCCAUCACACCCAAACUUCCGUUCACAUGACACCUUAAGUUUGUUGGCAGGGUUAGCCUAACUGUCAACCUGUCAUAUAUGUCUAUAGCUCCAUAUCCCUCUCCUCUUCUUAGAUAUAUUGAGUUUUGAGGUACCUUACCACAUAGCCCAUGUUGUUAUAUCCCUUCCCUCCUCGAUUGGGUCUUUUAUUGCCCCCGUCUUUCCCACACUAUCGUGACACUGUUCUCCUACUUUCUUUCCAAAUGUGGAUCAGAACCAAUGGCAUUGAUAAGGUCGCUAGUAGGAUCAUGAUGGGGACCAAAGCCAAAGAACAAACAAUGCACUAGCAAAAAAUGUCUAAUUGGCACAUCUAAAGAAGUCAAUGCUGGACUUACUAGGUUCUUAGCUAUUCAUGUGAGAAUUGAUUACUUGCUCAUACUAUGAGUCUAUUUUUCGAACUUUCAAUAGUUGAUAACCGAUAUGCAUGCAUCAAUUGCAUGUGGAGAGAUCACCUACAAUAAGAAUAUCCGAUCUUUAUUUUCAACUCCCGGAAGCAUUUUGUCGCUUGCUACGGCUGACCUUCGUCAUCAAAUACCAGUUAGUAUAUAACUAGGGGCUAGGGUGCAAAUUAACGAUGAUGGUAACCAAUUAAGCUUAUGCACCUAGAUAAUCUACACAAAACACAACACCCCGCAAAAAAAAAUGGGUACACAAACACACAAAUGGUCUACUGUCGGCACAAAGAGCACACACAACAUGUUUGAUUAAUUUCAAGUUUAUGCAUGCACGUCACAUGCGAACCUGCAACGUACGUACCACGAGUGAUCGUUAGCCAUGGCGAGAAGAAGCGAUGAACAUAUAUACGUACCUGGGGAAGGCGCUGUUCUUGACGGCCUUCUGGCCGUACUUCCUCCACCGGUAGCCGUCGUCGAGGACGUCGUUCUCGCUCUUGGUCUGGAACGCGAACCGCGGCCGGCUCGCCUUCCUGCUCCCCCGCCCGCGCGCACUGCCCUUCCCUUUCGUCUCCUCCCUUCCCACGCCACUACUGCUCCCUGCACCACUCUCCGGCGGCGGCGGCGGCGCCGCCCCGCUCACCAUCUCCUCCCUGCCCACACCGGCCGCCACCUGCUGCGAAGUCGACCCGGCGGCGGCGCCCGGCCCCAGCGGGAGAAGCAGAGACGCCCAGUCCACCAGCCCGGGCAUGGGCAUCCCCGGCUGGCCACCCAGAUGAUCAGCCGCAGCGUCGCACGUCGACGACUGCGGCUGCUGCUGCUCCAUCAGCGGCGGAGACUGCAUAUACUGGAAGUGACGGAACAGCUCGUCGUCCCCUUGCAGUUGCAGGUGGUCGUCUCCCUCCCGCAAGUUCUCCAUCACCGAUACGGAAGUGACGCCGCUCGCCCAGCCUCGAUCGGUUGCUCCGGCGGCCGGAGAGGAGACCGAUGGAUGGAGGAGUGACCGCAGCGUGUGACAUCGAGGGGGCGCCGUGGUAUAUAGACGGUUGGUUGCAGCUAGCUGCGGGUAGCUGUGACCGGAGGGUGAGACGGGAAGGUGAGAGGAGUUGGGCAAACCGAGCGUGCUGGCUGCGGCAUGCAAGCCAAGGACGCGAUCCACGGGAGAGAGAGAGAGAGAGAGAGAGAGAGUGAGGGGGACGAGCUACGUAGCUCGACAUCGCAACCGUUUCCCAGCUACCCGAUCGGGUCGGCUCAACUGCCCCGUCCGCCCCCGCGCGCACGCACGAGCCCUCGAUUAGUUUUUUACAUCCCCACGUACGUACUGCCUGCGUGCGUGUCCCCUCCAGAUCGGGUUACGUGGGGGGCAUGUAAAAAUCUGUGUGCGCGCGUACCUCAAAAAGUCAAGGCAAAAUGUCGUCGGUCUGACCUGUCACACAAACUUUUUUUUUUGAGAAAAGACCCUGUCACACAAACACUAUGGACUAUGGAACUCGGGCCAGGACCUUGCAGUUCAAACUACCAUCGCCAGGCUGACCCAACGAAAUGUGUGAUAUGCGCUGUCUUUGGGAGGUCGGCCCAUCAAGCUUUCGCUCCCUAGUUUCUUUUGUUUUUCGCUGGCUACUCUAGUCUUUGCUCAGGGAAAAGCGGCUAUCAUUUCUUUAUUAGUUUAGAAAAAAAUGAUGAUUUUUUUUGAAAAAACACAGAUUUAAUAAAAAUUACCGUGAAGUAAAAAAUAUUUUAAAAAAAUCAUGAAUUAGAAAUUUUGUUCAUCGCUUCAAAAAAUAUUCACGAAUUUUAAAGGCAGUUAUCAAUUUAAAAUAAAAUAAAAUUGUAAAACGUUUGUGAACUUCAAAAUAUUAAAUUUUUUAGAAAGUUGUCCAUGGAUUGGAAAAAUAUUAAUAAAUGGAAAAGUGUUUGCGAUUAAAGAAUAUGUUCACAAAUGUAGAAGUAUUUUCAUGAAUUUAAAAAGGGAAAGAAAAAAGGUGGAAAUUGAAAAAAUAAUUAAAAAUAAUAAGGAAAAUGAAAAAAAGAGAGACAAAAUGGGUCAAAACCCCAAAAAAGGAAAACACAUAAAAGAAAAAAAAGAUUGAAAGCUUCCAAAAAUUGGGUGGAAGCUUCCAAACAGGUGACAGAAGCUUCGCAAAACCACUCUAGGAGCACUUCACUCAAGUUAAUGGGCCGACCCACCAAAAGCGAUUGUAGUGAGUAAGCGCUAUCAUAAGGGUUGCUAUAAGCAGCAUUUGACAAUUGCAAAAUGCUAGCUCAAGUAAAGCAUAGAAAUCCUCCUUGAGACAAAGUCCAAAAGUAUCUUAUGAAUCAUUUUUUGAGAAAGAGUAGAAAGAAGUGCUUCUUGAAAGCUCCUAUCCCACCCAUAAAGGGUGGGAUAGCGAGCAAACUCACGUGUUGUUGUGCCAGAAGCCAAAAUAAGUUGGGCACAUGUACUGAGUUGAGCCAAAAUUAGAAAGGUCCAAGCUAACCAAUUUAACUCACCUCUCCUUACUCCCCGUGUAGCUCGGCAACGAGGGGGGCACCCCCCUUCUCCUUCUCAUCGUCUCCAGAAGCGCCUGGUCACGAAGGUCGGCAGGCUUUGUGUAUGAUGGUGGAGGGGCAAUUCUCCAGAUGCUCUGCAUGGUGAUGGUGUUGGGGGUCGGUGGCGGGCACGCAUCUUGUGGCUUUGGGUUGCACAAUGGAGGUUCAAGCAACGACAUGUUUGUGAUCUCCUAUGGGCGAGUGACAACAGAUGCAGCAUGCGGGGCCUGAUUUGUACCCGUUCGAGCCGGUGCAUGGUCUGGCCUCCGACUCGUAGGCGUGACCUUGGUGCUUAGAUAUAAGUGAAUAAGACAUGUCGUACUAUACACCACUCUAAGUGAAUAUUUGAAAUAAAGUCACACCUACUGUUUACUCUUUAUAUAUACCAGAUGUGUGAGUGGUGACAUAUGACCCAUGUAUCCAAGCAAACAAAUAUAUGUUAUUUCAUUAUCUGUUCACCCAAACUUCAUAUCUUUAAGUGAGAAAAAACUUGUUGGAAAUAUGCCCUAGAGGCAAUAAUAAAAGUAUUAUUAUAUUUCAUUGUUCAUGAUAAUUGUCUUUUAUUCAUGCUAUAACUGUAUUAUCCGGAAAUCAUAAUACACGUGUGAAUACUUAGACCACACUAUGUUCCUGGUAAGCCUCUAGUUGACCAGCUCGUUGUGAUCAACAGAUAGUCAUGGUUUCCUGACUAUGGACAUUGGAUGUCGUUGAUAACGGGAUCACAUCAUUAGGAGAAUGAUGUGAUGGACAAGACCCAAUCCUAAGCAUAGCAUAAAAGAUCGUGUAGUUCGUUUUGCUAGAGCUUUGCAAGUGUCAAGUAUCUCUUCCUUCGACCAUGAGAUCGUGUAACUCCCGGAUACCGUAAGAGUGCCUUGGGUGUGUCAAACGUCACAACGUAACUGGGUGACUAUAAAGGUGCAUUACAGGUAUCUCCGAAAGUAGCUGUUGGGUUGACACGGAUCGAGACUGGGAUUUGUCACUCCGUAUGACGGAGAGGUAUCUCUGGGCCCACUCGGUAAUGCGUCAUCAUAUUGAGCUCAAUGUGACCAAGGUGUUGGACACGGGAUCAUGCAUUACGGUACGAGUAAAGUGACUUGCCGGUAACGAGACUGAACAAGGUAUUGGGAUACCGACGAUCGAGUCUCGGGCAAGUAACGUACCGAUUGACAAAGGGAAUUGCAUACAGGGUUUGAUCGAAUCCUCGACAUAGUGGUUCAUCCGAUGACAACAUCGAGGAGCAUGUGGGAGCCAUCAUGGGUAUCCAGAUCCCGCUGAUGGUUAUUGACUGAGAGAGUCUCGGUCAUGUCUGCAUGUCUCCCGAACCCGUAGGGUCUACACACUUAAGGUUCGGUGACGCUAGGGUUAUGAAGAUAUGGAUAUGCAGAAACCCGAAUGUUGUUCGGAGUCCCGGAUGAGAUCCCGGACGUCAUGAGGAGUUCCGGAAUGGUCCGGAGGUAAAGAAUUAUAUAUAGGAAGUGCUAUUUCGGGCAUCGGGACAAGUUUCGGGGUUAUCGGUAUUGUACCGGGACCACCGGAAGGGUCCCGGGGGUCCACCGGGUGGGGCCACCUGUCCCGGGGGGCCACAUGGGCUGUAGGGGGUGCGCCUUGGCCAUCAUGGGCCAAGGGCACCAGCCCCUAUAGGCCCAUGCGCCUAGGGUUUCCCACUAGGAGGAGUCCUAGUGGUGGAAGGCACCCCUAGGUGCCUUGGGGGGGAGGGAAACCUCCCCUAGGCUGCCGCCCCCCCUAGUAGAUCUCAUCUACUAGGGCCGGCGCCCCCCCCCCCCGGCACCCCUAUAUAUAGUGGGGGAGAGGAGGGACUUCAUACACCAGCCCCUGGCGCCUCCACCUCCCCCCCGCUACGUCUCUCCCUUGUAGUCUCGGCGAAGCCCUGCUGCUGUGACACCCUGCAUCCACCACCACGCCGUCGUGCUGCUGGAUCUUCAUCAACCUCUCCUUCCCCCUUGCUGGAUCAAGAAGGAGGAGACGUCUCCCGUCCCGUACGUGUGUUGAACGCGGAGGUGCCGUCCGUUCGGCGCUGGUCAUCGGUGAUUUGGAUCACGUCGAGUACGACUACAUCAUCACCUUGCAAGCUUCCGCAUGCGAUCUACAAGUGGUAUGUAGAUGCAAACUCUCUCCCUAGACUCGUUGCUUAGAUGAACUCAUAGAUGGAUCUUGGUGAAACCGUAGGAAAAUUUUUAAUUUUCUGCAACGUUCCCCAACAGUGGCAUCAAGAGCUAGGUCUAUGCGUAGUUCUCUUUGCACGAGUAGAACACAACUUUGUUGUGGGCGUGGAUUUUGUCAUCUUACUUGCCUCUACUAGUCUUUUCUUGCUCAACGGUAUUGUGGGAUGAAGCGGCCCGGACCAACCUUACACGUACGCUUACGUGAGACCGGUUCCACCGACUGACAUGCACAAGUUGCAUAAGGUGGCUGGCGGGUGUCUGUCUCUCCCACCUUAGUUGGAGCGGAAUCGAUGAACAGGGCCCUUAUGAAGGGUAAAUAGAAGUUGACAAAAUCACGUUGUGGUGAUUCGUAGGUAAGAAAACGUUCUUGCUAGAACCCAAUUGCAGCCACGUAAAAGAUGCAACAACAAUUAGAGGACGUGUAACUUGUUUUUGCAGCGAUUGAUCAUGUGAUGUGAUAUGGCCAGAAGUUGUGAUGAAUGAUGAAUUGUGAUGUAUGAGAUCAUGUUCUUUGUAAUAGGAUUCACGACUUGCAUGUCGAUGAGUAUGACAACCGGCAGGAGCCAUAGGAGUUGUCAUUAUUUUUUGUAUGACCUGCGUGUCAUUGAAUAACGUCAUGUAAACUACUUUACUUUAUUGCUAAACGUUAGUCAUAGAAGUAGAAGUAGUCGUUGGCGUGACAACUUCAUGAAGACACGAUGAUGGAGAUCAUGAUGAUGGAGAUCAUGGUGUCAAGCCGGUGACAAGAUGAUCAUGGAGCCCCGAAGAUGAAGAUCAAUGGAGCUUUAUGAUAUUGGCCAUAUCAUGUCACAACUAUAUAAUUGCAUGUGAUGUUUAUUAUGUAUUAUGCAUCUUGUUUACUUAGGACGACGGUAGUAAAUAAGAUGAUCCCUUAUAAAAUUUCAAGAAGUGUUCUCCCCUAACUGUGCACCGUUGCUACAGUUUGUCGUUUCUAAGCACCACGUGAUGAUCGGGUGUGAUGGAUUCUUACGUUCACAUACAACGGGUGUAAGACAGUUUUACACAGCGAAAACACUUAGGGUUAACUUGACGAGCCUAGCAUGUGCAGACAUGGCCUCGGAACACGGAGACCGAAAGGUCGAACACGAGUCGUAUGGAAGAUACGAUCAACAUGAAAAUGUUCACCGACGAUGACUAGUCCGUCUCACGUGAUGAUCGGACACGGGCUAGUCGACUCGGAUCGUGUAACACUUAGAUGACUAAAGGGAUGUCUAAUCUAAGUGGGAGUUCAUAAUUUGAUUAGAACUUUAUUAUCAUGAACUUAGUCUAAAACCUUUGCAAAUAUGUCUUGUAGAUCAAUGGCCAACGCUAACGUCAACAUGAACUUCAACGCGUUCCUAGAGAAAACCAAGCUGAAAGAUGAUGGCAGCAACUAUACGGACUGGGUCUGGAACCUGAGGAUCAUCCUCAUAGCUGCCAGGAAACAAUAUGUCCUAGAAGGACCGCUAGGCGACGCUCCCGUCCCAGAGAACCAAGACAUUAUGAAUGCUUGGCAGUCUCGCGAUGAUGAUUACUCCCUCGUUCAGUGCGGCAUGCUUUACAGCUUAGAACCGGGGCUCCAAAAGCGUUUUGAGCAUCACGGAGCAUAUGAGAUGUUCGAAGAGCUGAAACUAGUUUUUCAAGCUCAUGCCCGGGUCGAGAGAUAUGAUGUCUCCGACAAGUUCUACAGUUGUAAGAUGGAGGAAAAUAGUUCUGUCAGUGAGCACAUCCUGAAGAUGUCUGGGUUGCACAACCGUAUGACCCAGCUGAACAUUAACCUCCCAGAUGAGGCGGUCAUUGACAGAAUCCUCCAGUCGCUCCCACCAAGCUACAAGAGUUUUGUGAUGAACUACAACAUGCAGGGAAUGGAAAAGACCAUUCAUGAAGUGUUCUCGAUGCUGAAGUCAGCAGAGGCUGAAAUCAAGAAAGAACAUCAAGUGUUGAUGGUCAAUAAGACCACUAAGUUCAAGAAGGGCAAGGGUAAGAAGAACUUCAAGAAGGACGGCAAAGAUGUUGCCGCGCCUGGUAAGCCAGUUACCGGGAAGAAGUCAAAGAAUGGACCCAAGCCUGAGACUGAGUGCUUUUAUUGCAAGGGGAAGGGUCACUGGAAGCGGAACUGCCCCAAAUACUUAGCGGAUAAGAAGGCCGGCAACACCAAAGGUAUAUUUGAUAUACAUGUGAUUGAUGUGUACCUUACCAGUAAUCGUAGUAACUCCUGGGUAUUUGAUACCGGUGCCGUUGCUCAUAUUUGUAACUCACAGCAGGAGCUGCGGAAUAAACGGAGACUGGCAAAGGACGAGGUGACGAUGCGCGUCGGGAAUGGUUCCAGAGUCGAUGUGAUCGCCGUCGGCACGCUGCCUCUACAUUUACCUACGGGAUUAGUUUUGAACCUUAAUAUUGUUAUUUAGUGCCAAGUUUGAGCAUGAACAUUGUAUCAGGAUCUCGUUUAAUACGAGAUGGCUACUCAUUUAAGUCUGAGAAUAAUGGUUGUUCGAUUUAUAUGAGAGAUAUGUUUUAUGGUCAUGCUCCGAUGGUCAAUGGUUUAUUCUUAAUGAAUCUCGAGCGUAAUAUUACACAUGUUCAUAGUGUAGAUGCCAAAAGAUUUAAAGUUGAUAACGAUAGUCCCACAUACUUGUGGCACUGCCGCCUUGGUCACAUUGGUGUCAAGCGCAUGAAGAAGCUCCAUGCCGAUGGACUUUUAGAGUCUCUUGAUUAUGAAUCGUUUGACACGUGCGAACCAUGCCUCUUGGGCAAAAUGACCAAGACUCCGUUCUCCGGAACAAUGGAGCGAGCUACCAACUUGUUGGAAAUCAUACAUACCGAUGUGUGCGGUCCAAUGAGCGUUGAGGCUCGCAGAGGAUAUCAUUAUGUUCUCACUCUCACAGAUGACUUGAGUAGAUAUGGGUAUGUCUACUUAAUGAAACACAAGUCUGAGACCUUUGAAAAGUUUAAGGAAUUUCAGAAUGAGGUGGAGAAUCAACGUGACCGAAAGAUAAAAUUCUUACGAUCAGAUCGUGGAGGAGAAUACUUAAGUCACGAAUUUGGUACACACUUAAAGAAAUGUGGAAUCGUUUCACAGCUCACGCCGCCUGGAACACCUCAACGAAACGGUGUGUCCGAACGUCGUAAUCGCACUCUAUUGGAUAUGGUGCGGUCUAUGAUGUCUCUUACCGAUUUACCGCUAUCAUUUUGGGGAUACGCUCUAGAGACAGCUACAUUCACUUUAAAUAGGGCACCGUCUAAAUCCGUUGAGACGACACCGUAUGAAUUAUGGUUUGGAAAGAAACCUAAGCUGUCGUUUCUAAAAGUUUGGGGAUGCGAAGCUUAUGUCAAGAAACUUCAACCUGAAAAGCUCGAACCCAAGUCGGAAAAAUGCGUAUUCAUAGGAUACCCUAAGGAAACUGUAGGGUAUACCUUCUACUUAAGAUCCGAAGGCAAGAUCUUUGUUGCCAAGAACGGAUGGUUUCUGGAAAAAGAGUUUCUCUCGAAAGAAGUAAGUGGGAGGAAAGUAGAACUCGAUGAAGUACUACCUCUUGAGCGGGAUAGUGACGCAGCACAGGAAACCGUUCCUGUGAUGCCCACACCAACUGAAGAGGAAAACCAUGAUAAUGAUCAAGGUACUUCGGAUCAAGUUACUGCUGAACUUCGUAGGUCCACAAGGACACGUUCCGCACCAGAGUGGUACGGCAACCCUGUCCUGGAAAUCAUGUUGUUAGACAACAAUGAACCUUCGAACUAUGAAGAAGCAAUGGCGGGCCCGGAUUCCAACAAAUGGCUUGAAGCCAUGAAAUCCGAGAUAGAAUCCAUGUAUGAAAACAAAGUAUGGACUUUGACAGACUUGCCCGAUGAUCGGCGAGCGAUAGAAAACAAAUGGAUCUUUAAGAAGAAGACGGACGCGGAUGGUAAUGUUACCAUCUAUAAAGCUCGACUUGUUGCUAAGGGUUAUCGACAGGUUCAAGGGAUUGACUACGACGAGACAUUCUCUCCCGUAGCGAAGCUAAAGUCCGUCCGAAUCAUGUUAGCAAUUGCCGCAUACUAUGAUUAUGAGAUAUGGCAGAUGGACGUCAAAACAGCAUUCCUUAACGGGCAUCUUAAGGAAGAACUGUAUAUGAUGCAGCCGGAAAGUUUUGUCGAUCCUCGGAACGCUAACAAAGUAUGCAAGCUCCGGCGAUCCAUUUAUGGACUGGUGCAAGCAUCUCGGAGUUGGAACAUUCGCUUUGAUGAGAUGAUCAAAGCGUUUGGGUUUAUGCAGACUUAUGGAGAAGCCUGCGUUUACAAGAAAGUGAGUGGGAGCUCUGUAGCAUUUCUCAUAUUAUAUGUAGAUGACAUACUCCUGAUGGGAAAUAAUAUAUAAUUUCUGGACAGCAUUAAGGCCUACUUGAAUAAGUGUUUUUCAAUGAAGGACCUUGGAGAAGCUGCUUAUAUAUUAGGCAUCAAGAUCUAUAGAGAUAGAUCGAGACGCCUCAUAGGUCUUUCACAAAGCACAUACCUUGAUAAGAUUUUGAAGAGAUUCAGAAUGGAUCAGUCCAAGAAGAGGUUCUUGCCUAUGUUACAAGGUAUGAGACUGAGCUCAGCUCAGUCACCGACCACGGCAAAAGAUAAAGAAGAGAUGAGUGUCAUCCCCUAUGCUUCAGCCAUAGGAUCUAUUAUGUAUGCCAUGCUGUGUACCAGACCCGAUGUAAACCUUGCCGUAAGUUUGGUAGCAAGAUACCAAAGUAAUCCCGGCAAGGAACACUGGACAGCGGUCAAGAAUAUCCUGAAGUACCUGAAAAGGACAAAGGACAUGUUUCUCGUUUAUGGAGGAGACGAAGAGCUCGUCGUAAAGGGUUACGUCGACGCUAGUUUCGACUCAGAUAUGGAUGACUCUAAGUCACAAACCGGAUACAUGUAUAUGUUGAAUGGUGGAGCAGUAAGCUGGUGCAGCUGCAAGCAGAGCGUCGUGGCGGGAUCUACGUGUGAAGCGGAGUACAUGGCAGCCUCGAAGGCAGCACAUGAAGCGAUUUGGGUGAAGGAGUUCAUCACCGACCUAGGAGUCAUACCCAAUGCGUCGGGGCCGAUUAAACUCUUCUGUGACAACACUGGAGCUAUUGCCCUCGCCAAGGAGCCCAGGUUUCACAAGAAGACCAGGCACAUCAAGCGUCGUUUCAACUCCAUCCGUGAAAAUGUUCAAGAUGGAGACAUAGAGAUUUGCAAAGUGCACACGGAUCUGAAUGUCGCAGAUCCGCUGACUAAACCUCUCUCGCGUGCAAAACAUGAUCAACACCAGAACUCUAUGGGUGUUCGAUUCAUCACAAUGUAACUAGAUUGGUGACUCUAGUGCAAGUGGGAGACUGUUGGAAAUAUGCCCUAGAGGCAAUAAUAAAAGUAUUAUUAUAUUUCAUUGUUCAUGAUAAUUGUCUUUUAUUCAUGCUAUAACUGUAUUAUCCGGAAAUCGUAAUACACGUGUGAAUACUUAGACCACACUAUGUCCCUGGUAAGCCUCUAGUUGACCAGCUCGUUGUGAUCAACAGAUAGUCAUGGUUUCCUGACUAUGGACAUUGGAUGUCGUUGAUAACGGGAUCACAUCAUUAGGAGAAUGAUGUGAUGGACAAGACCCAAUCCUAAGCAUAGCAUAAAAGAUCGUGUAGUUCGUUUUGCUAGAGCUUUGCAAGUGUCAAGUAUCUCUUCCUUCGACCAUGAGAUCGUGUAACUCCCGGAUACCGUAAGAGUGCCUUGGGUGUGGUAACGUCACAACGUAACUGGGUGACUAUAAAGGUGCAUUACAGGUAUCUCCGAAAGUAGUUGUUGGGUUGACACGGAUCGAGACUGGGAUUUGUCACUCCGUAUGACGGAGAGGUAUCUCUGGGCCCACUCGGUAAUGCGUCAUCAUAUUGAGCUCAAUGUGACCAAGGUGUUGGACACGGGAUCAUGCAUUACGGUACGAGUAAAGUGACUUGCCGGUAACGAGACUGAACAAGGUAUUGGGAUACCGACGAUCGAGUCUCGGGCAAGUAACGUACCGAUUGACAAAGGGAAUUGCAUACAGGGUUUGAUCGAAUCCUCGACAUAGUGGUUCAUCCGAUGACAACAUCGAGGAGCAUGUGGGAGCCAUCAUGGGUAUCCAGAUCCCGCUGAUGGUUAUUGACUGAGAGAGUCUCGGUCAUGUCUGCAUGUCUCCCGAACCCGUAGGGUCUACACACUUAAGGUUCGGUGACGCUAGGGUUAUGAAGAUAUGGAUAUGCAGAAACCCGAAUGUUGUUCGGAGUCCCGGAUGAGAUCCCGGACGUCACGAGGAGUUCCGGAAUGGUCUGGAGGUAAAGAAUUAUAUAUAGGAAGUGCUAUUUCGGGCAUCGGGACAAGUUUCGGGGUUAUCGGUAUUGUACCGGGACCACCGGAAGGGUCCCGGGGGUCCACCGGGUGGGGCCACCUGUCCCGGGGGGCCACAUGGGCUGUAGGGGGUGCGCCUUGGCCAUCAUGGGCCAAGGGCACCAGCCCCUAUAGGCCCAUGCGCCUAGGGUUUCCCCCUAGGAGGAGUCCUAGUGGUGGAAGGCACCCCUAGGUGCCUUGGGGGGGAGGGAAACCUCCCCUAGGCCGCCGCCCCCCCUAGUAGAUCUCAUCUACUAGGGCCGGCGCCCCCCCCGGCACCCCUAUAUAUAGUGGGGGAGAGGAGGGACUUCAUACACCAGCCCCUGGCGCCUCCACCUCCCCCCCGUUACGUCUCUCCCUUGUAGUCUCGGCGAAGCCCUGCUGCUGUGACACCCUGCAUCCACCACCACGCCGUCGUGCUGCUGGAUCUUCAUCAACCUCUCCUUCCCCCUUGCUGGAUCAAGAAGGAGGAGACGUCUCCCGUCCCGUACGUGUGUUGAACGCGGAGGUGCCGUCCGUUCGGCGCUGGUCAUCGGUGAUUUGGAUCACGUCGAGUACGACUACAUCAUCACCUUGCAAGCUUCCGCACGCGAUCUACAAGUGGUAUGUAGAUGCAAACUCUCUCCCUAGACUCGUUGCUUAGAUGAACUCAUAGAUGGAUCUUGGUGAAACCGUAGGAAAAAUUUUAAUUUUCUGCAACGUUCCCCAACAAAACUUGUUGUACUUUCUAUUCUUAUGUGGUCAUGCUUUUGGGUUGAGCAACACUGGGAAAAAUAAUUCAACUAAGCAAGUAUCAGACACAAGUCGGUUAUGUUUCUUUAGUUUGCUUUACACUUAGGUGCAUUCUUUCACCAGCACCGGC